AUUUAUAAUCUUUUUAUUAGGUAAAUUACAUUUUUAUCUCUUAAUUUUGGAGCUCAACACCAAUUUAAUUCCUAAACUUUAAAAUUUCUCAAUUAACGGUUUAUAGUUUAAUAAAUAUAAUAACAACAAGUUCUAAUUUCUAAAAGAGUCCCAAUUAAGUCCUAAUUUCGGUAGAAAAUGUUUAUUAAUGUAAGCUUUUUAAAUGAUUGAAUUUUGUAGGUAGUAUUAAAUAAGGAGAUGGCACUGCCCUCGUUAAUGUUGCCAAGAUCGCGGAGGCAGUGGAGGAGGCGAUGAGGGUCGGAAAGAAAGAAAAACUAAGGAAAAAAAGAAGAGAGAGAAAGGAAUAAGAGUAUUUUGAUGAGUUUGUUAAAAAUCCGGCACGAAUCUACAAAAUCGAAAAAUGCGGCCCGACUUUGCAAAAUCGAAAAAUGCGGCCGCUAAUACAAUAAUUGAAAUUAUAUUUAUUUUAAUUAAGCUUGUUCUCAGGUUGGAACAAGCUUAACAAGCUUGAUAUCCAAAAAGGUUGGAACAACAGUUUCAGAUUUAUACCAUCUUAUACCAACUUAUUCUCCCACGUAAGAAAAAAAAAAAGAGCUUAUUUUCUCACUUGUUCCACGACCAAACAGAAUUUAAGACUUUUAAAGGAACAAGUUCCCCCCUGCUGCUAUAGAGAGAGAGACCAACUUAUUCUCCCAAGUAAGAAAAAAAGAGCUUAUUUUCUCACAUAUUCCACGACCAAACAGAGUUUAAGACUUUUAGGCUGCGUUUGGUUGGAGGGAUAUCCCAGAACAAGGCGGGAUAUCCCUCCAAACGCAAUGCAUUUUGGAACAACCGGAUUGUUCCCGGAACAACCCGUUAAGCCGGGAACAACCCGGUAAGCUUGUUCUCCCUAAAAGGGAGAACAAGCCGGAACAAGAGAUUUGGGCUUUUUUUUUUUUUUUUUUUUUUUCUGGCCUUUUAAUUUUUUAUACUUUAUUUUAAUUAAUUUCAAAUAAAUUAAAUGAAUGCUCAAAUUUAAUAAAUAAAUAUAUUAAUAUAAAUAUUAUUUUUAUGGUAAUAUAUUUAUACUUAAAUUUUAUUAUAUAAUAUAAAUUAAUUAAAUUUGAUAUAUAUUUUAUUUUAUUAAGUUUUAUCAUUUAUAUAUUAAUAUUUAAUUAUUUUAUUUUAUAUUAAUUAUUAUAUACAUAAAAUUAUUUUUUCAUAUAUUAUAUAUAUAUUUUAACUUGUAUUGAAAUUUAUACUUAAAUUUUUAUGAUAAUAUAUUUAUACUUAAAUUUUAUUAUAUAAUAUAAAUUAAUUAAAUUUGAUAUGUAUUUUAUUUUAUUAAGUUUUAUCAUUUAUAUAUUAAUAUUUAAUUAUUUUAUUUUAUAUUAAGUGUUAUAUACAUAAAAUCAUUUUAUCAUAUAUAUAUAUAUAUAUAUAUAUUAAUUGUAUUGAAAUUUAUACUUAAAUUUUUAUGAUAAUAUAUUUAUACUUAAAUUUUAUUAUAUAAUAUAAAUUAAUUAAAUUUGAUAUAUUUUUUAUUUUAUUAAACUCUAUCAUUUAUACUUUAAUAUUUAAUUAUAUAUAUAUUUUUUAUUCGUAUUAAAAUUUAUACUAAUUAUUAAUUAAAAAUAUAGGGAUAUUGUUAGUAUUAUACUUUAUUCAUUAAUAUAUUAUGAAUAAAUUAUAGAAAAUAAAUUAUUACAUAAAAUAAAUUAUUAUAUAUAAUAAAAUAAUAUAUAUUAUUUUAAAUUAGAUUCUUACAUAAAAUAUUAUAUUAUAAAUUACUAUAUGAAAUAAUUUUAUAAAUAAUUUUAUAUAAAAUAUACUAAUAUAAAUUAAUUAUUUUAUUUUUAAAAAUAUAUUUAGACGUUGUUCUAGACUUUUUAUCCAAACGCUAUUAAGGAUAUCCUCUAGAAUAUCCUUGAAUGCAUCCAAACACAAAUUUACAAUUGUUCUAUCUUAUACCGGAAUAUCCCCUAUUCUCGGGAACAACAAAAGUUGUUCUCCAAAAUUUAGUUCUCCAACUAAACGCAGCCUUAAAGGAACAACCAAGCUUGUUCCCACCCACCCCCUGCAGCUAUAGAGAGAGAGAGACCAACUUAUUCUCCCAAGAAAAAAAAAAGCUUAUUUUCUCACUUGUUCCGCUACCAAACAGAGUUUAAGACUUUUCCGCCCUGUGUGGAUUGGGUACAAAAGGAGGAUAAGAGCCUUAUCCGCCCUAUUGUACCCAAACAAAAAUUUUUGGAUGGGAACUAUUAGUUCCCACCUAGGGUGGAAAUAGCUUGUUCCCAUCCACCUAGGGGUGGAAACGAGCCGAGCUCGAGUGAGCUUACCUUGGCUCAAAUUCGGCUUGAAAUUAAUUUCGAGCCUAAAUUUAAGCUCAAGAUUGUAUUGAAAUUAAUUCGAACCGAGCACGAGCGAGCCAAAUUUCGAGUCGAGCGAGCUCGAGCCCUAAACGAGCCGCUUGAAAUUCUCAACAUCAUACGAUCAAUAGUUUAAUUUGUAUAGAAUAUUAUAUAUAAUUUGAUACAAAAAUACGUCUAAUAGUUCAAAGUACAAAAUAAUUCUAUGAAAUAUAGUAUUAUAAUAUGAAGAAAAAUAAUUUAUAAGUUGAAUACUUAAUCUUUUCAGGCUCACAUGUCUUCUCUUCCACCUUCAAUCUCCAAAUUAUUCAUUUUAUUUAUGCAGUCAAAAAUAUAUAAAUUAUAUAGAUAAAUAUUGGAUUAAACUAUCCAAUUAUAUAUAACUAAAAUUAAAAUUUUAUAUAAAUAAUAACUUUUUACUAUAAAAAUAUUCUGUAUAUUUUCUCAAGCAUACAAUUAAUAGCAAGGUAGGUAACGGCGGGCAUAUACUGUUAUUUGGUAACUUGGAGGACUUCUGGCUUGACUACUUAGGGUGAGAGAUAGAAAAAAAAAAAAGAGAGAAACAUAUUGAAAUUUUAGAGCUCUGUGAAAGAAAGAAAAAAAGAAAAAAAGUAUAAAUUUAAUGAAAUUUUGCUCUUUUAUUUAUCUAUUGGGUUUGUUUUUAUAGGCUAAUAACAUUGGCCCAAUUUUAACUAAACUCAGAUUAUUCACUCUGACUAUAUAUAAUUAAAAAUAUAUUAUAUUUAUAUAUUUUUUAAUAUAUAUAUAUAUAUAGAGAGAGAGAGAGAGAGUCCGGCUAUGGUGCUUGUAAAAGUAUCAAGCACUUGGUGCUUGUAAAUAUUUUACCGUUAGAUCUCUACCUUUGAUCAUUUUUACCCGUUAGAUUAUACUAUUCAACCAACCACCCACUCAACCCUAGGGGGCCCACAUCAUCCUAACCGCACAUCCUUUAAUCCAAUGGCCGAAAACUUGUAAGUACGAAUGACUUGGUACUUUUAAAUGUAUAGGAGCUCAAUUAUAUAUAUAUAGAAGGUGAGCAAUUGUGCUCAGCAUUGACCAACGAUCAGCCUCUGGUGCUCACCCUCGAGGCAUCAGGACACGCCUGCGAUCGCGCGCGAAUAAGCGUUGGCGCAACCAAACAGCAGCCAAAAGGCUGAAACGGAGCGAAUCGCCCGAACAGCGGAACGGGCCUCCCGCGGAACAAAGGUGAGCACGAUGAUCAGCAACAUUGCCCAGAGCAUCGUGCUCUGCUUCCGUAGAGAUCGGGGAAGCCUCGGGAAGCCCAGAAGAGGAAACCCACUCAAUAAGCUCCAUUCGUGCUUGGCCGAGCAACCUUUGCUCCGGCCGGCCGUCCGGCGGCACGACGGCGUGCGGCGGGCCCUGAGUCGGGUGAGGGGAGUGAGGAACACCGUGCUCACGCUCAGGUGCGCUGAAGCGGCGGCGGCGGCGGCGGAGCACCGCCCGCACGAAGAUUCGAGCUGGGUUCCAGGAGUUGCUUGCGGCCACGGACGGCGGCGGAGGCCCGGGCGCGGAGGCGGAUGCAGGAGGUCGGGGGAGUUACCGACGGGUGUGCCAAGGGGCGGCGGCGCUGGAAGAGUGCCGCACUACGGCUUCUGCUCGGGCUGCGGGUUGGGGCCGCGGCUGGCCGGGCGGCGACGGCGGCGCGUCGGCGGCGCGGGCGACCGCGGGAAGGGGCGCCCGGGCACGCGGGAAGACGACGGGAGGGUCCAGCGUGGCGACGCACUGGCGGCUGUGGCAACCGCCGCUCGCCUGACUCGGCCUGGCUGCUGCAGGGCGGCUGGAGCGGCUGCGGCGGGCCGGCGCGAACGGCGGCGGUCGACGGGGAUGCUCGCGCGGGAGCACGGGUGACACCGAGGGAGGGUCGCAGAGGCGCAGCCCCGGGCCUUUCACACAACUCGCGAGAGAGAGAGGGAGAGAGAAAGAGAUGGAGAAAGAGAGAAGUGGCGGCUGCGGCGGGGUUGCCGCCGUGGCUCAGACGUGGCGGCAGGGGUUCGCGUAGGGGCAGGGGAGAGGAUGAAGGUGGCUGGGGCUAGGGAGAACUAGGGUAUAGGUUAGGUGAGCAACAAAACCUAAAGAGCAAACUAUAUAACAAGGGCAACUGUCAAAAGUGUCGUCACCAAACACCGGAAUUUCACAUCCGACCUUCACCGGAACGAGCUAAAAACGCGUGAACGACUUCUCACGUGCGAUCUCAGCAAACGGUACAUAAAAUAUCGCGACUUUACGAAAAUAGCGUUUUUGGGCCACUACCGGACCUCUCUCGUAUCAACGUGGCGAUCUCCGCAGAUCCGUCCUCAGAUUUGUGAACGGAUUGCACAGUGCGAUCAGCACCUCGAGACAACAAAGCUGGCGAUUUCCGUUUCGUCUUGAUCGACCACCGAUCACGACAAUCCAACCUUCUCCGAAUAGAAGGAAACAGCACACAACAAUACUAUAUACAAAUAUGUAUUUUUGAUUUUCUCGAAAUCCGUGCCGUCAAAAACCAAAUCCGCUCAGCGGCCAGUAGUUCCAAACAGCUGACGUCCGGUCGAACGAGCUAAUUGGAACUGUGCUAUGAACAGAGUCCUGGUAUGGCGAGCCAAACGGCCAACUGCUCACCGCGCCCUUCUCCCGGAAAAUGAGUUACAUUCACUAUUUAAGUGAAACUUGGAAAUCGCGUAGAAUGUUUCGUUUUAAACUCGUAUUUCGCCCGAACUUGACUGACGUGCUUUUGUAAUUAAUUACUCACACAAAAACAUCCGUCAACUGAGAGAUUUAGCUACGCUGGCAAAAAUUCAGUCCUUACAAUUACGUACCGAGCGUCUCGUACUAUAGUGUUGGUUUUCGAUCUUAGGGCGUUCAAUCAACGACCACAUCCGUUUAACUGAUCUAGGUAAUUUUUUAAAGUUCUAGAAUAAAUUUGAUAUUUUUCGACAUAGUUUACUUAUGAUCAAACUAUUUCAAAAUCUGCAAUUUCAAUGGCUAUUUAUGACGAGUUGGAGUAACGGUGUAGAAGCAUCUAAAUUUCGUCAAAAUUUUGAUAGAAAAUACUUUAAAACUAUAUAGAUUAUAGUAACAUCUUGAUCUUGAAUUUAAAGAUGUCCUAUACUUCAAUUUAAAGAUUAUUCAUUUUCCAAACCGCCAUUUUGAUAUAAUUUUAUUUAUUAAGUAAACGAUAUCGAAAAAAACUAAAAUUUUAUUCUAAGAAAUUCAUGAUAUGCAGAUCAUAUUUAAGUCGUGUGGAUGUGAUUUGAACGCCCUAAGAUCGAAAUCAAACACUAUACGUACUGGAGCUACGUACUUAUAAUAGUAUAAGUACUAAUUCUAUAUAUAUAUUAUAUUAUAUAUAUAUAGUAUAUAUAUAUAUAUAUANNNNNNNNNNNNNNNNNNNNNNNNNNNNNNNNNNNNNNNNNNNNNNNNNNNNNNNNNNNNNNNNNNNNNNNNNNNNNNNNNNNNNNNNNNNNNNNNNNNNAGGGAUUUGGGAGUAAAAUCUAAGUCCUCUGUGAAGAACAGGUAAAAGAGCUCAAAGGGGGCGCUUCUCAGCUAUUUAUAGGGUGAAAAUGGGGUCAGAUGAACCUCAGAAACAAAGGCUGCAAUUUGCUGUCCCUGCAGAAAAUCCGAGAUCUGGGUGCCCUAAACUCAGUUCUGGGCGCCCUAAACUUCCAGCCUGCACAAAACAGCCCUCAUCGAUUCCUUCGCCUGCGGUAUGCUGCACCCUUAUCCUGCUCCGGCGGCCCACACCUACCACCAGCCACGCGUCAACACGAUCGAUAUUCAUGAUGUAGAAUUUUCGGACCCACUUCUGGGCGCCCAGAACAUAGGAUCCGAAUUGGAUUCCAGUUUCAGUUAAAUUCAGCACUCAGUACUGGGUGACCUAAAUCUAUUUCUGGGUGCCCUAAACUUCUGGGCGCCCUAAAUCCAGUUCUGGGCGCCCUAAACUAGCAAAACUCCAGUUUUGCUUAUUUGAGUGCGCCGAAUCCAUUUCUGCAUCUAUUUCGCGUAGAAACAACUCCGACUCAGUCCGACACUUUCCAGAAGCGUCGACCUGUCACUAAUACUAAAGCCAAUCCUAUCCGAAGCUCAGAAACACUACAUCCUCCCCUACUACAAAAAGUUUCGUCCGCGAAACUGAACACAUACCUCAAUCCAGGGCCUCAAACAGGUAGGGGUAGGACUCCCUCAUCACCGUCUUCGGCUCCCAAGUCGCCUCCCGCUCCUCAUGAUUACUCCACUGUAUCUUUACAAAGGGUAUGACCCGUUGCGCAAUUCUCUCGACUCACGAGCCAGAAUCCGCACCGGUUGCUCCUCGUAACUCAGGUCCUCGCCAAUCUUAAGCGGAGUGAAGUCAAUCACGUGGGAGGGGUCGAACAUAUAUUUCCUUAAAGCCGAGACGUGGAACACAUCAUGAAUGCCGGCUCGCCGUGGUGGUAGAGCAAUUCUGUAAGCAACUGGCCCGACUCUCUCCAAAACCUCGAAAGGGCCUACAAAACGUGGACUGAGCUUUCCACGUACUCCAAAUCAGCGAAUCCCUCCGGACGGCGAGACUUUAAGAAAAACAUGAUCUCCCACCUGGAACUCCAAGUCUCGUCUCCGGGUAUCAGCAUAGCUUCUCUGUCGACUCUGGGCUGCUAAUAUGUGCCGUCGCGCCUCUUUUACCUUUUCCUCAGCCUCAAUCAGAAUCUCAGGCCGAAGCGUCCUCCUUUCACCCACAUCACUCCAAAACAAAGGGGAUCGACAUCUGCGUCUAUACAACGCCUCAAACGGAGCUAUCUGGAUGCUCGCUUGAUAGCUGUUGUUGUACGCAAACUCAACCAGUCUCAAAUGCCGAUACCACCCUCCUCCAAAGUCCAAGACACAUGCCCUCAGCAUAUCCUCUAGAGUCUGAAUGGUCCGCUCUGACUGACCAUCUGUCUGUGGGUGAAAUGCUGUGCUGAACUGCAACUGAGUGCCCAAGGCCGUCUGAAGACUCCUCNNNNNNNNNNNNNNNNNNNNNNNNNNNNNNNNNNNNNNNNNNNNNNNNNNNNNNNNNNNNNNNNNNNNNNNNNNNNNNNNNNNNNNNNNNNNNNNNNNNNNNNNNNNNNNNNNNNNNNNNNNNNNNNNNNNNNNNNNNNNNNNNNNNNNNNNNNNNNNNNNNNNNNNNNNNNNNNNNNNNNNNNNNNNNNNNNNNNNNNNNNNNNNNNNNNNNNNNNNNNNNNNNNNNNNNNNNNNNNNNNNNNNNNNNNNNNNNNNNNNNNNNNNNNNNNNNNNNNNNNNNNNNNNNNNNNNNNNNNNNNNNNNNNNNNNNNNNNNNNNNNNNNNNNNNNNNNNNNNNNNNNNNNNNNNNNNNNNNNNNNNNNNNNNNNNNNNNNNNNNNNNNNNNNNNNNNNNNNNNNNNNNNNNNNNNNNNNNNNNNNNNNNNNNNNNNNNNNNNNNNNNNNNNNNNNNNNNNNNNNNNNNNNNNNNNNNNNNNNNNNNNNNNNNNNNNNNNNNNNNNNNNNNNNNNNNNNNNNNNNNNNNNNNNNNNNNNNNNNNNNNNNNNNNNNNNNNNNNNNNNNNNNNNNNNNNNNNNNNNNNNNNNNNNNNNNNNNNNNNNNNNNNNNNNNNNNNNNNNNNNNNNNNNNNNNNNNNNNNNNNNNNNNNNNNNNNNNNNNNNNNNNNNNNNNNNNNNNNNNNNNNNNNNNNNNNNNNNNNNNNNNNNNNNNNNNNNNNNNNNNNNNNNNNNNNNNNNNNNNNNNNNNNNNNNNNNNNNNNNNNNNNNNNNNNNNNNNNNNNNNNNNNNNNNNNNNNNNNNNNNNNNNNNNNNNNNNNNNNNNNNNNNNNNNNNNNNNNNNNNNNNNNNNNNNNNNNNNNNNNNNNNNNNNNNNNNNNNNNNNNNNNNNNNNNNNNNNNNNNNNNNNNNNNNNNNNNNNNNNNNNNNNNNNNNNNNNNNNNNNNNNNNNNNNNNNNNNNNNNNNNNNNNNNNNNNNNNNNNNNNNNNNNNNNNNNNNNNNNNNNNNNNNNNNNNNNNNNNNNNNNNNNNNNNNNNNNNNNNNNNNNNNNNNNNNNNNNNNNNNNNNNNNNNNNNNNNNNNNNNNNNNNNNNNNNNNNNNNNNNNNNNNNNNNNNNNNNNNNNNNNNNNNNNNNNNNNNNNNNNNNNNNNNNNNNNNNNNNNNNNNNNNNNNNNNNNNNNNNNNNNNNNNNNNNNNNNNNNNNNNNNNNNNNNNNNNNNNNNNNNNNNNNNNNNNNNNNNNNNNNNNNNNNNNNNNNNNNNNNNNNNNNNNNNNNNNNNNNNNNNNNNNNNNNNNNNNNNNNNNNNNNNNNNNNNNNNNNNNNNNNNNNNNNNNNNNNNNNNNNNNNNNNNNNNNNNNNNNNNNNNNNNNNNNNNNNNNNNNNNNNNNNNNNNNNNNNNNNNNNNNNNNNNNNNNNNNNNNNNNNNNNNNNNNNNNNNNNNNNNNNNNNNNNNNNNNNNNNNNNNNNNNNNNNNNNNNNNNNNNNNNNNNNNNNNNNNNNNNNNNNNNNNNNNNNNNNNNNNNNNNNNNNNNNNNNNNNNNNNNNNNNNNNNNNNNNNNNNNNNNNNNNNNNNNNNNNNNNNNNNNNNNNNNNNNNNNNNNNNNNNNNNNNNNNNNNNNNNNNNNNNNNNNNNNNNNNNNNNNNNNNNNNNNNNNNNNNNNNNNNNNNNNNNNNNNNNNNNNNNNNNNNNNNNNNNNNNNNNNNNNNNNNNNNNNNNNNNNNNNNNNNNNNNNNNNNNNNNNNNNNNNNNNNNNNNNNNNNNNNNNNNNNNNNNNNNNNNNNNNNNNNNNNNNNNNNNNNNNNNNNNNNNNNNNNNNNNNNNNNNNNNNNNNNNNNNNNNNNNNNNNNNNNNNNNNNNNNNNNNNNNNNNNNNNNNNNNNNNNNNNNNNNNNNNNNNNNNNNNNNNNNNNNNNNNNNNNNNNNNNNNNNNNNNNNNNNNNNNNNNNNNNNNNNNNNNNNNNNNNNNNNNNNNNNNNNNNNNNNNNNNNNNNNNNNNNNNNNNNNNNNNNNNNNNNNNNNNNNNNNNNNNNNNNNNNNNNNNNNNNNNNNNNNNNNNNNNNNNNNNNNNNNNNNNNNNNNNNNNNNNNNNNNNNNNNNNNNNNNNNNNNNNNNNNNNNNNNNNNNNNNNNNNNNNNNNNNNNNNNNNNNNNNNNNNNNNNNNNNNNNNNNNNNNNNNNNNNNNNNNNNNNNNNNNNNNNNNNNNNNNNNNNNNNNNNNNNNNNNNNNNNNNNNNNNNNNNUUUUUUUUUUUUUUUUUUUUUUUUUUUUUUUUUUUUUGCUCUCGCUUCUUCUCUCUCCCUGUCUCUACUUCCCGUUUUUCUUCGAGGCCCCAGCUACCUCCACCCUGUAUGUCUAGUUCAUUUUCCUUCAGGAAUGAAGUAGGUAGCUUGCUACCUUUUUCUCAAAAAAAAAAAAAUGUGUGUUUUCUUUUCCAUUUUUGUGGAGAAAGUUUUCUACAUGGCAGUGCAUUUUUUUUUUUUUAAUUGUGAUUCAUCAAGAUAUUAAAAAAAAUAAUAAUAAUGUUACACUGGCUUUCGUUUGUGUAUGAGCGAAUGAAAUGGAUGAUUACAUAUUACAGAUAUGAAAUGGAAAUGUGAAUAAACGACUCCAUUCACUUUAUUUAUCUCACACUUUUAAUUCCGUGCUUUGCUAUUUAAACAGAGAAAACUGCUACAACUUAGUAAAGGUGGAUUCGAAUAUGACAUGAAAUCAAAUGUCCAUACACGUGCUGUUCAUAAAUAUGCAAUUGCAUUGGAUGCAGAAAUAUUAUCUUUUCUGAUAGUAAAUUAUAAGAAUAGCUAUUGAAGUAAAAUAAAUUUGAAAGUACAUAGCGUUAGAUGCUCAAUAUAAAAGUCUAUGGAUCAACAUUUUUAAUUAUAAUUUAACAAAAUUUGUAAAUAGACAAUGACAUUAACAGAUCGAUUUAAAAUUAUCAGUGAUAAAUUCACAGAAAUCUAAUAAGAUUACACUGACUAAAAGUGAUUGGAUAUAUCGAAUUUAAUCUAUACAAGGUAUAUUUAUUUAUUAAUACCAUCACCAUCUUAAUUAAGUUUGAUUUAGGAUGCGCUUCUCUUCCUUUUGUUCUUAUCUCUUUUUUUUUCUUCUUUUUUUUUUUUUUGGUGAAGCCACACGAGGCCUCGCUUUCAUAGCUAUGUUUACCUCGCUUUUAAUGAAUGAAGUAGGAAAACUAGCUAUCUUUCCCUUGCAAAAAAUUACCCACCAUCUUGAAAUAGCAAAAUUAUUCUAAAAACUUAUGCAUACUAAAUCUAAAGCCAAAAACUCGAGUCCUAAUUAAUUUUAACAUAUCAAAACACUACCGACCGUCACUAGCGCAAGUGACAAAAGACUUGAAGGUUGAUACCUGAGGUUCCAAGUUCGAAUCCUAGUUGAUUCACAUUUCCAGCAGAGUUUAUUUUUUAAAAAAAUAAACGAAACGGGUAGCAUGCUAUCUUUCUUNACUCUCCACAGAUGAUAUAAGCAGAUAUAGGGAAUAAACAAGUACAAAUCACUCGAUCUAGUCUAAAGUACACCAUGUGUUCUGAUUAUUAAUGUCCAUUAAGAUGCUGCAAAGAAAUUACCAAGUUCAUUUCAGUAAUGCUAGGUUUUGAGAUUUGUGAUCCAGAUCAUGAGAUGUGAUAAAACUGGCCGACAACAGUCUCCAGCUCACGAAACUUCGCGGACUUUCUUAACAUCAAAAAAUCCAGGCCGCUGCUCGUUUGCUGAAGCAACAUCACUAGGCGAUGCAACGGCAACCACGACCCACUUAUCCUUUACUGCCUCAAGUGCAUCACCAAACUCCUUAAAAUCUUUCACACUGCAAAAUCCAUGAGGAGAAGUAUCAGUAACUGCAAUUCUUUAAGGUGGAAGAAAUCGACCAUUUUGUGUAGUUCGAGCACACUCAAGGGUCGACACAAGAAAACCAAAAAUUUGUUCUGGUUUGUCCAAAUCUAAAAAACCACCAGACUAAAUAUGAAACUUACGUGGUUGAUAGGACUUCUCCAUGUCUUUUCUCUCGAUAUUCUUCCGUGAUGCCUCUUAGGUAUCGAAGUAGACUGAGAAAUACAGAAAAACAAACAGUUACUGAUACUUCAGAGAAGAAUCAGGACGAAAUAACUCCAAUUUAUCCAGAAAAGAAGGAAGUGAUUGUGGAAGAUAAAUUAAAGCAAGAUGACAUGAGCCAUUGUUUGCAAUCAGAUGCAUAUGUUUUUCCCUUACAUGUUAAAAAUUAGCUGAACCAUAACUCAGUUUGACUUAUAAUCCUUGGAUUGGAAUUGCCAGUCAACUUCAAAGGGGGCACAUUCUAAAUCAAGAUAUUUUAUGUUACACUUCUCCUCCGAAUUUAAAUAAGUGAUUGUGAAAACAGAUCACAGCAUUUUAUGUUAUCUGCUAGAAGGUAUGAACCUCAGAAAGACACCAAACUCAUAUCAGUCUUCAGAAAUCAAACUAACAGGAUAUAAACCUACAGAUGAUAUGUAUUUGCUCAUACCUGCUGUAACCUUUUGCAUCUGGAAGUUGAUAACCUUCUAAGUCUCUUAUAGUACCUAUUAUUGCUUUUGUGAGACUAUCAUCAUCUAGUUCUAGCUCCUGGAGAAAGCCGGCUGUCCCAUCAUAUAUGGCUAGGGUUUUCAACAAGUUGGGAUCACGAUAAGAAGAGAAUGAGAAAACUCCUGCCCCGGGAAACCAAUUAUUAGUAAAAAUACAUCUACCUCUUACUCAACUUCUGGUCAAUCAUUAUGGUUUAAAACACGGCUAUACCGGAAUAAGCAUCAAAACUACAUCCUCCUCCAUAUGCACCACCGCUAGUUCUAAGGCGUUCCCGUAGCCAUGUCGUGUUGACACAACUAGAAAUUACAUAAAUACUUCCAUGGAGCUGAUAUCCACUCUCAUAUAUGUUAGCAGCUUUCCCAACAUAGUUAACCUGUAGAGAUGAUGAGAAAAGAAUGUUAAUUUCAUAUAUCAAAGACGUUACUUUAGUUGAAUUCCAUUUAGGUUGAAAAGUGGAAGGUGCACCUGUGUGGGAAUGACAAUUGCUUCAUUUCCGGGAGAAAGUAUGGUUUCCCAGGAAUUGUUCCCAGGAAAUGCAGUCGGAAGGGAAUCAACAAAUUUGGAAAGAUAUUUUGUAGCGGCCACAAGAUUUUCCUCGUCCGACGUCAUAUUAAUCGUGCAACCUUUCCUUGAGAGAAGGGACUUACGUAUUUCCUCGAGCGAAAUAGAAAUUUUAUCCCAAUCAUCAUCAACUUUCUUCUCAAGAUCUUGUAAGAACUCCAUAUAGCUGGUUAACAUAUAUUUGACUGUCAUAGUAAGCGUCAAAUUCACUGAAAAGUAUGAUAGACAAAAUGUGUUCCUCCCAUAGUACUCUAAAAAUGGUCAUCAAAUGAAGCAACUGUUCAGAGUUCUUUGCAUUUAAAAAUUCGUGAUGAAUGUUUUCAAAUAAUCGAUAAUCAAUAGAGAUGUUAUCAUUAUUACUAAUAAUUACCACCAUGAUGUUGAAGUUAUUAAUAACACAAAAUAAAUACAAAAAUACCACAAACUAAUUUUAGUAUAAAUUUUGAGGAUUGGAGUAAGGCAAUAUUGCACGAUGGACAACCUAAUGCCACUAAUUUGUUCAUCAACCCAUCCAGCAACAUUUAGCUUAGCAUUUAUUCUUCUAGCUGCAAUGAAAGAACCAGAGCCUUUUAUUUUUGUCUGCAAAAUAGAAAUCUGUUAGAGCAACGUAAUAUACAGCUUUUUGAGAUCAUGACACAUCAAAAGAAAAUCUAACGAAAAACCUCCAUUUUUGCUCUGCUUUGAGCAACAAACUGUUUAAAGCGUUGCUUUUCCUUGAAUUCAACUUCUCGAAGAAUGCAGUUUAUCUGCAGCAAAAACAUAUCACUUAUUUAUGCAAUAAACUAAUAUUCCAAUGCUCUAAUGUAUCCCUAAUUAAAAGGUGUUUUUAGGAAACUAGUGUGAUGCUUGCUAUUUAAGCUGUGUAGGUGAAGUUCUUGAAUUCCUAACAUGUAAGCUAGGAAGUAAUGAAUGGCUUAAACCACAAAAAGUACACAGAGAGAAUGUAAAUCAGGGGUUCUAAAGCUGAAAAGGGUAGUAUUACCAGUUUGAAUAGGUCCUCUACCCGUUCCGACAGGGCUUUUCCACGAACAAUGACAUGGGCACAUAAAUCCAUCUUUUUUCCACUUUUAGAAGAUACGAAAGGGUAAAUACAGAUUCCUCCAGUCUUUCUUCCAAUCAGAUGGUUAAGCUGUACAAAAUCCAUAUCUUUUGUGCCCAUUUCCAGCAAAGAUUGACCGUUUGAGAAUGUGUCAGUAUCAAUACAAGUUUCAUGCAAAAAUCCAGUAAGUUUAAAUAAUUUUGAGAUUGAAGGAAAAGAAUUCUCACCAGAACAGUGGUACUAGCUGAAGAAAUUCUUGCUUCAAGGGACUCAUAUCAAAUACAACUUCCAAGUAGACAAUGUUAUUUGUUAAAAGGUUGUGCUUCACAACGUUUACUCCAUUAACAUCUUCAAUCUAAAGAAAAGGUAUAUACGCCAUUAAUGAAUUAUGAUUUUUCUGCUAAUAACUUAAUAUUAAUGUAAUGUUAAGAUACUAAAAACCCAGUUAAAAAUUAAUAAGAAUUUCAUUAAUCAGCAUGAACUUUCAGAAAAUAUGUCAUAGGUCCUAAAAUAUAAUAAAAAAAAGAAAUUAGUGGCAAAUAUAAAAAUUGCUGGAAUUUUACGUGAACAUAGAAAGGAAUAUUCAUACNUUAUUUUUUUUCUUUUUUUUUUUUCUUUCUUCUUCCUCUUUCAUUCCUCUCUCUUUUUUUUUUAUGCUUCAACAGUCUAGUCUUUGAAGUUCGGUCAUUAAGUGUUUUUUGGUAAUCAAAAUACUGUGGAAGUGGGUCUUGCACCAUUCCUUUAUCCGAAUUCUGCAGUGCCUGAGUUUAGCUGUUAUGGUGAGGAUCGCCGAGUUCUUGCGGCCAACUUCGUUCCACCAGAGAGGUAUUUUGGUAAGAAAAUCCUCCUUUGUUAGCCAUACAGGCUCAAAACGAAAUUUCCUUGGCACGAGUGGGCGGCCCGUAGUGAGAAGUAUUGGGGUAUGGUCAGAGGUGAUCCUGGGGAGUGCUUUGACCUUGUAGAGGCGAAAAGAUUGAUCCCAUUCCGUUGAGAUAAGAAAUCUGUCGAGCUUGGCUAGAGACGGACGGUGUUGCAUAUUCGACCAAGUGUAAUAUUAGUUGGACAAUGGUAGGUCUAUGACCUCGAGACCAGAAAUGAGAUCCGCGAACAUGGACAUAGCUUUAUUACUCCACGAUUUGCCUUUCCUUUCAGAAUAAUUUUUGGUGAAGUUGAAGUCACCGCAGAUUACCCAGUUUGAGGUGCAAGAGUUGCAAAGAGAUAUGAGUUCUGAGCAUAACUCCUCUUUGCCGUCCCAAGCUGGUGGCCCGUAGACGUUGGUGAUAUAGAACGAUUUCCCAGUAGUGAGGUGGGUCAAGUGUAAAGUCAACGAGAACUUUCGUAGUAAAACCUCAUCGGAUUUGAAAAAUUUCGAACUCCAGCAAGUGAUAAUUCCACCGGAGGCCCCAAUAGCCGGAACAAAUUGGCACUUGUCAAAGCUAGAGCCGCAGCAAAAGCGGAGGAAAGAGCGAGAUACGGAGUCCACCUUGGAUUCUUGAAUACAAAUAACGGAGUUGAAAUAACUAGCGACAACGGACCUGACACUACGAUGCUUUACGGGGUCGUUAAGACCCCUGACAUUCCAACUUAAAAUGUUAAACAUCAAAAAAGUAGGGCACACAAAAAAGGCUUCACUUCCGCCUAAAGUGUCCAGAUCCUACACGUUCGCGCGGAUGAACUUGCGACGCUCCGUGGCUUCUGCAUCGGAAAGGCUGACCCCGCAUAGAUUGCUUUUCGACUUUAUUUUCUUCCUGGUCCAUUUGCGCGCCGUGGUUCCAAUGCCUGGCGAUCCGCUUUCGGAAAGUCGCGCUUUCCUACACAUCGCUCUGUCAAGCACGGAGUCAGAUGUCAAGUUGUUGAGCCGCGCGCUCGACCUGGGUAGUGCUUGAUCGACACAUUUGUAGACAGCAAUAGAGAGAGGUGGGUCAACUGCAGCCGCUGUCUGUUCCAUAGGGUCGGACCUCAAGUGAGCGGAGCGUGAUCCAUCAGCGUGCCCGAAAUCGAGGGGUCCAGAGAGAGAAGCCUGGGUGGGCGCGACACAGCCUGAGACCCAAGGGGACUUGGGGAUAGUGGGCCAGCCCAUUUGAAGUUCGGUCGGGUACGAAUAAAUUUCCGAUGAGGUGGAGCGCAAAUUUGCGGAGUAACGCUGAGGAAAUGAUCCUAUAUGAGUGGGGGUUCCGAGCGGGCGGCGUCCAGUUGCGUUCUCUUUGGGCUCUAAAGCCUUGUUGGAGCUCGGGGGGCUCAAGAGAUGGCACUCGCGAGGUGGAGGAAAGUGGCCCAGUCUGGUGGGGCCCAAGCCAUGCAAGUGCAGAAAGACGGUCCAUUGCGGAUCCGUCGAGGUGCUACCCGCAGAAGGAGCAAUUAAUGUUAACGUCAAUAAAGGCGUGAGGCCGAAGGGAGGGAUGAGUCUGUCGUAAUCAAUGCCAUGGUUAAAGCCGUGGUGACUUUUCGAGAUCUCGGGCCCUACCCAAUUUUCGAACCAAUCUCCUGAGUGUGGGCGCGAGUCCCCGUAGAAGAUAGUGCUUUUUGGAGAGAUCUGAAUGGGGGGAAAUAUGGUGGAACUUAGGGGGGUGCAAAAUGAUCAAAGUCAACUGAAAUAGGAUUGUUGCAACCUGUAAAACCGAAACUUUUGCAUCCCUUUUGAACUAGUUUCACAAAAAAGGAAGGUCCGAGACGAUUCCGAGGCGAUCUUGCAGAAUCUCUAGCAGCCAGAUCUCCUCUAACCGGGACGGCAUCGACCAGAGCUCCUCCGUCCGAGUCGGCACCGGCCAAGACCCAUCCCGCGUGGUCUCCACCGGCUAGGGCUCCGCCGUCCAGGUCUCCGCCGACCGGCGCUUUUCUGACCAGGUGGAGGUCGGGCGGGGGGGUAAAAGGGUAGAGUUUGGCCGGAGCUCUGUCGACCAGAACUACAUUGGCCUGGAUGCUGUCAAUUGUGGCUUUCCCGCCUUGAUCUCCGUUGACCGGGUCAUUGCCGAGCGGGACUCUCCCGCCUUGAUCUCCGCCGACCGGGGUUCGUCCAACCAUGGCUGCGCUGCCGCCGGCGGUGGCUCCGCCGACCGAAGGCCGAUCAAUUCCGACCAUGGCUUCACGACCGCCGAAGGUGGCUCCGCUCCCUUUGCUAUCAGCAAAGAUGCGGCGCUCAACUUCGUGCGAACCCUCAUCAGGAUCAUGAUGAUCAGUUCUAACAAUCGGAGGCGGAGGAUUCCCAGGUCCGCCGUUCCGGGCCUACUUUUCUAGCUGUAUUAGCACCGAGAUGGAGAUAUCGCCGAAAGUGAUCUCGACGUUCUCAGGAAUGUCUGAGAGAUAGUUCACGGCCACAAGGCAGCGGUAGCCCGAAAGAUCUGCCAUCCGCCUAGUAAGAUCGUCCACUUUGAUAAAUCGGCCGAAGCCACCGACGAGGGCCGCGACAGUUCGGGAGGACCAACAUUCGUACGGAAGGCGGACCAGCCGAAUCCAUGCGUUGUAAGGAGGAUGGAAGCGUCGAGCCCCUCUGUAUGGGUGCCAGGCAAAACACCUGAGCCUGAGCUCACCUAGGCUGAUGAGCUCCCUACGGAUGAGGGAUUUAGCGGUGACCCACUCAGGAAGGAAGACGACGAAGUCGCGCUCCCUGUACCUGGAGACCAAGAAAUCUGAUGGGUAGCCCCCAAAGCGGUUUGCGAGGCCGUGAGCAAUAGUGUCCUGCGUGAAGUGGCCGAGGUUCGCCGGGGGUACCACGUCGACGAGAAUGGCAUUGCGUCGCCUAUUUUGUCGGGCGGAGAAGUCUUCAGAUAGAGGGACGAAGGCGCUCAAGUAUGAAGGGCGCGCGCGCGUCGCACGGUAGACGUUGAAAGGUAGAUGGUCCAUGCAGCUCCGGGCUUUGUGACCUGUUUUAAAACACAAAGAGCACCUAAUGGGAUCUCGGCAGUCGGCAGCCCAGUGAUCCCUUCCCAGGCACCGGAAACACCUUCCUUUGAGCUUGAAGCUGGUGUGCCUGGGAGCUCGGGCAGUGGAAAAGCGAGGUGGAGUUGGGUGUGAUGGAGUUGGGGGAGUAGAGAGGAGAGCCUCCUUGAAGCUCUUCUUAUCCAGAGUAGUAGGUGUGCUCUUGCUUAAGGCUUGCUCAAUCCAUUGCAAGUCUUCCUUAAUGACAAUGGGGGUGGUGGAGUCAUCUUUCUCAAAGAUGGAAACUCGAGUUAAUGCUGAACCACAGGCAUCCGCCCAGCGCAGCUUUUUGGAGGAGGUGGAUGAGCAUCCAUUAAGGCACGAACGUUGGAGGCAAGUGAGACCUUUAAUUCCGUAGCCUAAUUUACAUUUGAGCGUUUGAAACCUCGUCUCGAGUUCUUGGCAGAGCCCAGAGGUGUAAGAGCUGGGGGUCUUCAGGCUCCGGUUCACCGAGGAUUCAAAGGCCUUCCCAAACACCUUCGCUGUGCGCGUCGCCUCCGCUGUGCGCGUCGCCUCCGCUGUCUUCCCGUUUUGGCUCACCUCCGCCGUCUUCAUUCUUGUUUUAGUAUCCUAAAACGGUAACUAAAACAUGAUGGAAUACUCGAGGAACUCACACUUCCCCUGUGCAGCCUGUUUGGCAUAGAUUCUGAAAAAAUAAUAUCUGUAGAAUUAAUUUUGAUUUACAGAAUUGAUUUUGAUUAAAAACAAUAAAGUAUGCGACAAAAUUUAGAUGGAAAGUAAUUCUUCUAAAAUUAUUUUGUAAAGCUAUUUAGCAAAAUUUUUUAGAUAUUGAUAUACAAUAAUUUUUUUUACUAAAUUUCAUUAUAAAAAAUUAAAAUUUGAAUUUAAAUUUAACUAAAUUUUUUAAAUAUUAAAUUUUAAAUUUUAAAUUUUUUGCAAAAUUUUAAAUUUUGAUAUUUUAAUCUAAAAUAUAAAUUUGAAAUUUGAAAAUUUAAAAUAUAAAAAGUAAAAAUUAAAAUAUAAUUUAAAAUUUAAAAUGUAAAUUUUAAUUUUUAAUUUCAAAUAUAAAAUCUAAAUUUGAAAUUUAAAACUUAAAAUUAACAUUAAAGUUAAAAUUUAAAAAUUUAAAUUUCAUUUUUCAAAAUUUGAAAUUUUUUAUUUGAAAUCAAAACUUACAAUUUACAAUUUACAAUUUACAAUUUUAAAUUUUAAAUUUUAAAUUCUAAAUUCUAAAUUCUAAAUUUUAAAGUUUAAAUUUUAAAUUCUAAAUCCUAAAUUCUAAAUUUUAUCUUAAAUUUGAAAUUUAAAAUUUAAAAUUUUGAAUUUUAAAUUUUAAAAUUGGGAUUUGAAUUUUAAUAUCUAAAUUUUAAAUUUUAAAUUUCGAAAUUUGAAAUAUAAAAGUUAAAAUUUGAAAUUUAAAAUUUCAAAUAUAAAUUUUAAUUUUAAAACUAAAAUUUUAAUUUAAAUUUAAAUUUUGAAUCUAAAAUUAAAAUAUAAAAUUGAAGUUUGAGUUCAAAAUCAAAAAUAGAUUCAAGAAGUAGAUUUUAGGUGCUUUUGAUUUUGGGUCUUGAAAGUUAGAAAAUUAAUUUUAAAAAUCAGAAUUAGAUUUUGAAAACGAGAUUGUCAAAUGUUUUAUUUAGCCGAAAAUUAUUUUUGGAUCCAAAAUCACUUUUUCGGAAGGUAGCCAAACAACGUAGCCAAACACUGACUAAAUUUUGAAAUAGUAUUUGAACUGUCUAGCAAUCUCAACUAGAGCCCAUUAGAUAUUGGACCCCUCAAGUGGUCCAAGCUAAAUCACAAAAUAAAUAAUAAAAUCUAGCAAAAUUGUCAUUGGGUAAUCUUAUAUUAUGUUAAAUUAAAUUACAUUACUUUAAGUAAGAAUUAUUUGAAUUAAACCUCUUAAAUUAACAUUUUCUUAAAUAAAUUGACAAAACAAUAAACUAAAGCCAACUGUAUAAUUUUUAGGCUCUUAUGAAAGUAGAAAUUUUAAGAGCUAACUAUUUGGAUGUCGGAACGUAUUACCCAGCAAUUACUUAUGCCAAAUAAGAGGUUUUUGGUGGUGAUUUAUUUUACUCUUAGAAAUAACUUAGGGGAUGAAUAUAUCACCUCAUUGUAGGCAUCUAAUACCAAUUAAUGUAUUUUACUUGAACAAAUAAAAGAAAUAUUUUAGAUAAGAUAUUCAAAAAGAGACUAAUUUGGAUGUGAGAACAAGUUACCAAGUGAUAACUUAUUUCCUAUAGGAAUUAUUCGAAUGUCAGAAUAAGUUAUUCAAUUAUAACUUAUGCACUUUGAAAAUUUUCUUUUUGAUUGCAAGUUAAGAAUUUGAUUUUACAUCUUUAGAAGUUACUGAGAAGCAUGUUUUUAAGUCGGAUAAUAUACACACCUAUAAGAUUAUUUAUUUUAUUCAAAAAAAACAAUUCGAAAAUUGAAUAUGAUAUGCUUUUGGAGACUUAUUAGUCAUAUUCUUCAUCUAUUAAGCACAAAAGCUUUUCGAAAAAAAUAAAAAACAUAUACUAAUUAAAAUAUUUAUACAUCCAAAUAGAACAAUAUUUUCUAUUUUCAAAGACUUAAUUUACUAUCCUACAUAUUUUGCAAUAGACUAGAGAAGCUAUAUUACAUAUAGGGAUGUAAUGUGGGCCGUGCCGGGCUGGCACGGCCCACAUUUUCCGGGCCAAAUCGGGCCACUGGUCGGCCCGGCCCGACCCGGUUCUUAAUCCGGGCCGUGCCGUGCCGGCCCGUUUCCAUGAAGUAGAAGACCCGGCCCGGCCCCCGGGCCCGCCCAGCACGGGCCGUGCCGGGCCGGGCCGGGCUUCCUGCCAGCCUGCCAGGCUACCAGGCCCUUUCUUUUUUUCCUUCUCUUUCCACAGUUAUUUUUUGUCCAAUUUUUUUUUUCAGAAAAAAAUAUUUUUAAUCACUCUUUUUGUACUUAUUUGAGAGAAGAGAAUUGAUAUUAUAAAAAAUAAUUACAAAUUUUUAAAUUUUCAAAUUCAUAAAGAAGAUAUUGUAUAAAAAUAUUAAAAUUUAAAUCUUUUGGACCAAACUACCUCUCUCCAACAGUCAAAAUUUUGACUGUUGGGAAGGACACUUUUAGUCAACCCAAAAGAUCCUUGGAGAGCCCCCGCGGGCCCCCCCACCCAAAGCCAGACAGCCUCAUAAGGCAUGCUACAGUCGUAUGACCGGGGGCGGACGAGUGCCGGCCGGGUAAAAAAAACAUCUCCUGGGCCCCGCACGGAAGAAAAUCGUGUCCAUGCCGGGCCGUCCAACACACACUCACACACACACACACAAAAGGAACCACACUGAUUCAAGUGUCGGACGGAUACAAAGUACUCAAUGCAAUAAUAAAUGAAAGGCCGCCCGGCCCGUUUAAAACCCCUAAUUACAUAUUAUAGAAGCUACACCAAACAAGCACUAUUUUAUUUGGAAGCUAAAAAGCCAUAAAAUAAUAAUAAUAAUAAUAAUAAUAAUAAUAAUAAUAUCUUAUUCGGAAAUUAUUAAUAUUACGUCUAUUACUAUUAUUAUUAUUAUAAAUUAUGCUACUAUACCAUCGAUAGUACCAAGUGUCUGAUACUAUUGAAUUUUCGGUCGUUGAAUGAAAUGAUAUGCGGUUAUGAUGAUAGUAAUUCAUUAGGAUUGAGUGGGUUGUUGGUUGAAUAGUAUAAUCUAACGGGUGGAAAUGAUCAAAGAGUAGAUUUAACGGCAGAAAACUUAAUAAUACCAAAAAAUUUGUACUAUCGAUAGUAUAGCAGAAUCUUAUUAUUAUUAUUAUCAUUAUUAUUAUUUUUGGUUUGAGAUGCUGACAUGUGGGUCCCACUCAUGAGGGCCCCACAUGUCAGCCGAAAACAAAAAAAAGCAUGUGGGUCCCACUCAUGGGUCAAAAUAGUCAAUUAGUUAAGACGGGUGCUUUGACCGUUGACCACAGGCAUAAAACACGUUUGUACCCUCCCAUUUUAACCAUCAAAACAAAUGUUAAUGUGGGUGGUGCUUAAAAAAAAAAAUUUCUUUUUUUUUUGGGGGGAAAAAAUGAUGGAAUAGUUUUUGUCCUAAUUAAAAGAGUCUCCAACAGUUUAACCCCUCAUUCUCCAAAUUGAUUUAGCUCCUUUUUUUUUAUAAUUAUUUUUUUUACAAUUAUUAUUUAUUUUUUUUGGUGGUUGUGUUGUAGUUAUCCUCUGCAUGCCGAGAAAUAAAUUUGCAUAUUUGAGGAUGAUAUCAAAGGGCUAAAUUGAAAUUUUCUCCAGGUAUGUUAAAAAAAAAAAAAAAUCAAGAUCAAGUUUUUUCUUUUUCUUUUUUUCCUGAUUUAUGUCCCACCGAAAAAAGAGGGUUUUCACGAAAACAACGUUUCUUUUCUUUUCUUUUUUUUUUUUGCAAUUUGAUAGUUUGUUUUUGCAUUCUGCAUGCGUUUCUGUGUUCUUGGUUCAAAUUUCUAAAAAUCUUGAAAAUACUGAUAUUCAUUGGACGGUCGUCUUUGCCGCCACCACUAUCGCUCGCUCGAAUAUUUAAAUUUGAAUACAAUAUUAUGGUAUUUUUCUUUAGUAUAUUUGAUAUGGGACUAUGCCCAAGUUUCUAAACUUUUACAUAUAUUAUACUUGGGCUAUGGUUGGAUGUGCACAUUUUUUAUUUAUUGUAUCUCUUUUGAUAUGCUCAAUAAGUCUAUAACAUUAGGUACAUGAGUACUACGAUCAAAUAUCUGAAAAGUUACGUACAUAUCAUAUUUGGCAUAAGAUAAAUCACAUUAUAAGUGCAUAUAUUAUCCUGUCAAAUUAUGGAUGCUAAUAAAACCGUUCGAUAAACAAAAAUAGAUCUCCUCGCUUAUGAUCAUGCGAGAAAUUCUCACAUAUAGUGUAUAAGUUAUCACUCAAUAACUUGUUCGGGUAUCGAAACAAAUCGGUCUUAAACUCCUCAGCUUUCGAAAAACAUGUUAUUGGUUGUAAAAUGACCUUCAAUUCAUUUGUCAUGUGAAAGGUGUGUAUAAAAAUCAAAAUUUUUAACUGUCCUAGACUAAAGUAAAAUAUGAAAAAAAUUUAUGAACUAAAAUAUUUAAUGCCUUAAAUAUGGAAACAAGUGUACGAUAUUGAGAUGGCACAGGAACAAUCCUCACAUUUUUACACAGCUAAUUUGUCAUAUAUAUAUAUAUAUAUAUAUAUAUAUAUAUAUAUAAUGAAUAAUGGGAAACAAUCUUUACAAGCAAAACCCUCUAUUUAUCUAACUUCACCACAUCUCUUUGCAGGUGCCAUGAGUGAGCAGAAACCAAAUGCUAAAAAAGUAAGCUAGUUCCUGGAUUAAUUAGUUUCUUUUUUUAUUUUAUUUUUAUGAUCGUUAAUAUACAAAUGAUUUCUAAAAUUAUAACCAUUUAACUUUUACUUCUUUUUUUAACUGAGUAUUUUAUAGUCAACCAAGUUAAUAUUUUUUUCUUAUAUUUCAUGGCUUAAUUAGCUAUCAGUAAUUAAUUAAUCUUGUUUUAUUUGCUACAAAGUAGUUUAUACUGUUAAACUCGAUUGAAUCAUCAAUCAAUUUGGUAAAAUUUUCAAUUUAUUGGCUAAAUGAAGUGACAUCAAUAAAAAGAAAAGGAAAAAAAAAAAUUAUAGUUCACAGGGCCAUUUUAGAAUAGCUUUUUUACCACAAUUGUAUUCAUAUAUAUUACAAAUUUUCUACUAUGUAUCCCUAUCAUAAUGACAUAUAAUUAUUUUUCUUCAACAGGAAAUUUUGGUGGAGUUAAAAGUGUACAUGCAUUGCAAGGCGUGUGAAAGUUUAGUAUUCAACACACUUAAACAUUCGAAAGGUCUUAAUCUAACUAAAGCUAAAAUUGUUUUUAAUACAUAUAAACAUUUCAAAUUAAUUUUUUUCGCGGCAUCGAAUGUGAUCGCUUUGUUUAUUAGGUGUCGAGACGGUUAAAGUCGACAUGAACGCGCACAAGGCUAUUCUGACGGGCCAAUUCGAGGUCGAAAAGAUUCUAAAGAAGCUCAGGAAAAAGACGGGAAAGAGAGGAGAGAUCCUAAACAAGAUCGAACGGAAUGUUGAUGGAGAAAAAGAUGAAUCAAAUCCAGUUACGAAAGAUAAUUGCGAUGAUAAUGCAAUAACUAAGCAGUAUAUGACAAUGUGCUACGAGGACUUAGAUGAUAGCGAGGAGGAAAACUUUCAUAUGUUUAAUGACGAGAAUGCUAAUGCAUGUCAAAUUGUGUAGCAGUAACUUUAAACUAAUUGUGUUUUUGUUAGCCUUAUUUGUUGAUUGAUACAUGCUCAAGUUUUGUUGUUGACUAGAAAAAUUCUAUGCUGUAACACACUUAAUUUACUCCCCAAAAUUUCACACUGAUGUUUUUUGUUUGCAAAUUUUCAACUUUUAGCGCAAAUGGCAAAGUGAUUGGUGGUUGAAACUCGAGAUCCCAAGUUCGAAACCUAGCUGUUUUAUAUUUCUAGCUAAGUUUAUUUUUAAAAGAAAUAAACGAAAUAGAUAGCAUGCUACUUUUUUUCUCAAAAAAUAAAAAGAGUAAUCGUUAUUAUUUAUGGCAAGUAACAAUUGAAUUGAGGGAUGGCGUCCAAGUUCGUAAGUUUGAAGUCUAGUUACUUUAUAUUUUCAAUAAAGUUUAUUUCUACAUGAAAGAAAUAAAUAAAUGAAUGAAACAGAUAAUAUACGACCGUUAUCUCCAAUAUAUAUAUGCAAUAUAAUAAAUCUUGCACCUAAGGACACUUUAAACAAUAACGAACGACACUUUAAAGUGUCGGUUAAGUAAAAACGUUGAGCAAAAAGCCAUUAAGUAAAUAUGUUGGGCUAAAUAUACCGACGCUUUAAUCCCGAUGCUUGUAAAAGCGUUGAGCAAAGAGUCGUUAAGUAAACAUGUUGGGAUAAAUAUACCGACACUUUAAUAUAACAUUAAAAAAAAAUUAUUAAUUUUGAUAAAAAUAUAUUUAUUGGCUACGUUUAAUCAUGAUGUUGGUACAUGCUAAAUAUUGAAGAUGCUUGAAUAGAGCAUCGUCUAAACAACGUCGUCUAUAACAUAUUUUGUUGUAGUGAUAAAAGUAUAUACACCCAAGAAAAAUGGUGCUUCACUUCGGUUCUUUUGUCAUUGCUCCCGAUCGAGGUCGCCUCGGCCUUCGUUGCAUGAGGAACGUCGAGCUUUCUACUCUGUAUGUUCAGUUAACAGUGGAUGCCUUCUUUACCUACUGUGUUUGUGAAGAAGAGAGAGAAGAGGAGAAAUUUGGGAAAGAAGGUAAAAGAUUAUGUUGCUAGCCUUAGCGGACCUUAUGUGGAGCCGUGCUCCAUUUAUAACGGUCAUCGGUCAAGAUGCCGCACUCUACCCGCUGUAUAACUCUAACUCAGCCAACACUUAUCUCACACUUCCGGCCGGUAAUUAGCUCUGAUACUAACUGUGACGUUCUACUUUUCAGGAAGUUAUCCAUCCUAGAACCACUCUUUUCUUAGUAUACUUAACCCUUUUAACAUCUUAGAUUUAGCCACCAUCUAAAAUAUUUUUUUUUUUUGAGAGAUAGAUAACACGCUAUCUGCUUCAUUUAUUUCAUUUAGAAAUAAACUUAGCUAGAAAUGUGAAUCAAGUAGGAUUCGAACUUGGGAUUUCGAAUACCAACCACCAAAUCCUUUGCUAUUUGCUCUAGGAACAGUCGCUCCACCAUCCAAAAUGUUAUGACCAGUUUAAAACAUUUAGUUCUAUUAUACAUCAUUUAUAGCACUAUUCCACACCCCGGAGGUGCAAAGAUUAAUUCAUUUUGUUGAUAAUAUUUUAUUAUUUACAACUACUAUUUAUACCUUUGUUUACAUUUACCGAAACGUAAAACGGUAUAAGUUAAUGGACCAAACUGUAAAGAUAACAACAUGGUAAACAGGGAUCCUAUUGGGAGAUGGCAGUGAAGAGAGGGCGUUUUUGAUCCCUUCGUUUCUUUUCCUUUUUAUUUUUUAAAAAAUUAAAUUUAUUUUUUUAAUUUCUAGGGGUGGCUUGGGCUAGGGUUAAAUGUGACCCAAAUGGCGCCUCAGGGGCAAAUUAAUGUUACCCAUAGGCUGCGUUUGAUAAUAAAAAUAAAUAUUUCUCAAAAAAAAAAAAUAAUAAAAAUAAAUAAAUAUUUUUAUUCUUCGACUAUACUACUCUGGGAUACGGAAGAGUAAAAAAAAAAAUUUGUGUUUAGUUUGUUUCGUAGGAGAACCAAAAUCGUUUUUAGUAAUUUUAUUCAGAAUAACAAAGAAUAAUACAAAAAAUAGUUUUUUUUUAAAUGCCAAAAUUGGCCUUUAUAUAUCUCUAAUAUAUAAAAUAAUGCAUAUAAUAAAAUAAUUUAAAUAUUAUAUAUAAUACUAUUAUAAUUAUAUUAUUAUAUAAAAUACUUUAAAGUUGUUAUAUAACAUACUUCAAUAAUAAUAUAUAUAAAUACUUCAAAUAUAUAUAUAUAUAUAUAUAUAAAGAGAGAGAGAGAGAGCACACAUUAUUCUAACCGUAUAUUUUUUCAUCCAAAAGCCGAAAAUCUAAUAGCACCAAUAGCUUGGUGCUAUUGAUAGUAUUCCGGCCUAGUUUUAUAUAUAUAUAGCAGGGCUACUGUGUUACAACAGUUCUUGUGCUGAUUAGGGUUAGAGAGAGAAGAUAAAUUAAGAAAUUGUGUGUCUCAAUUUCUCUUCUGUUUGAAUUUUUCUUCAAUUUUUCUUCUCUCUCACAUCCUAGCCACCCAUUAAAAUUGAUGGAUGAUUAGAAAGUUAGGAGUACAAGAGCUACUUUACUCCUAAUAACACAGUAGCCAUACUUUAUAUAUAUAUUAUAAUAUAUAUAUCUAUAUAUAUAUAUAUAUAUAUAUAUAUAUUUAUAUAUUAUAUAACUAGAAUACUUCUAAAGCAUCAAUCAUUGGUGCUUUUAGAUUUGUAGCUCUUGAAUGGAGAUGAUGUAACUAGAAUGAUGUGUAUAGAUAAAAUAAUGUUUGAUCCCAAAGGCUACACUAAUUGUCGAAGGGUAGAUCUAAAGACUUGAGUUAAAAGCACUAAUGAUGUGGUGCCUUUAGUUGUAUUCUAGCUCAACUCUCUGCUAACUAUAAUAUUAAUUAAUUAACGACUAUUUAUUAACUUAUAUAAUAUUUUAUUUUAUAUUAUAUCGUAUUAUAAAACUUAUGAAUUGAAGAACCAAGCAUUCUGGGCCGACACGUGUCGCCGGGCGAGAGGGGUCGGAGAGGCAGGCGCGGGCGGACGCGCGGGCGCAAGCCAGCGGACCGAGCGGGCUUGGGCAGGCUGGCGACGCGCGGCGCGUGGCGCGCGAGAGGGAGCGGGGGGGCGCCGCAGGCGUGGCUGCGGCCGGCGUGGGUGGCCGCGUGUGGGGGCGCGCGGGCGCGAGCGGCGCGGUCGGGCGAGCGGCGCGCGCGGAGGGCGCGACCCCGACACGUGGCGGCCGCCGAGAGGGUCGCGGCGCGCGCGGCGGCGUGAGGGAGCGGCAGGGGGGGAUAUAUAUAUAAAAUAUAUAUAUAUAUAAUAUAAUAUAUAUAAUAUAUAUAUACUAGAAUACUUCUAAAAGUAUCAAUCAUUGGUCUUUAAGAUUUGUACUCUUGAAUGGAGAUGAUGUAAUGUAAAAUUAGAAAUAAAUAAUUUGAUCCCCAAAGCUACUACUCAAUUGCGAAGGUAAUCAAAGACUUGAGGUUAAAAAGCACUAAUUAAAUUUCUAGAUUUUAUCUACUCAACCAUCUCUAAUACAUAUAAAUUAAUAAAUAAAGACUAUUAUUACUAUAUAAGAAUUUUUAUAUUUAUCGAAUUUAUAUUAACUUAUAAUUGAAACCAAAAGCAUUCUGGGGAGCACACGUGUCGCGGGAGAGGCGGGAGCAGCGCGUGCGACGCGCGGGCGGCAAGCCAGCGCCAGCGGGCUUGGCAGGUCUGGCGACGCGCCGGCGGUGCCCGCGAAGAGGGAGCGGGCCUCAGGGCGUGCUGCGACCGGCGUGUGGGGUGGGCGCCGGCGCAGCCGUCCCUGAUCGGGCGAGCGCGCGGCCGAUAGGCAGCGAGCCCGACACAUGCGCCGCGAGAGUUCGCGAGAGCCGGUGUGGGCGUAGGGAGCGCAGUGGCGGGGGGGAGCCCGUCGCGGCCCGGGCAGCCGCGCACGGCUAAGCCUGCCGGUGAUUUUUUUUCCACACUCCCUCUUUCCCGUCGGCCCGCCCCCACAAGUAACUGAGUUAGAUGUGGAAUUCUAAUUGUUUGAUUCUUAUCCCUUUCAACAUCAGGUGUUUUAGAGAAUUUCGUUUUUUUUCUCUUUCCGAAAUAAUAAUUAAACAUCAUUUUUUAUAAAAAAAAUAAAUCAAAUAGAAAGAUAUCUUCCAUAAUAAUUUAAUAAACUAAUAAACUAAACAUGAGCAAUUAAUCAGGUUAAUGUUGGAAAAAAUUAAAAUGGUAUAUAACCAAAAUAAUAUGAGAUGGAAUAAAUCAGUCUAAUAUUAAUACCAUAAGUGCUCUUGUUGAUGAACAAUUGCGUUAACGGUGUAAAAUACUUUAGAAAAUAUCCCUGUUGUUUUAGUAUGUAAUUUUGUUUUCGUAUAUAGGCAUCGGAUUUUACAAUAUGGUUGGCUGCAUCCAUCGGAAACGAAAUAAGUAACCAUAUAAGCUUUCGUAAACUCAUUAUCUAAUAACCCCCGCCUUGUCUAGUUCAAGUGACUAACUAAUCAAAAAAUAAUAGUUUAUAAUUAAAAAGACUCAAUAUCGUUUGAAUACUAAGUAUUAGAUAAUAUGGUAAUUAUAUAAAUUUUAAAUUUUCUUUAUUUCAUUAUAGAUUCGCCUAUAUUUUUUCUAAUCUGCCGAUUCAAAAUUCGUACAUCUUUUAUUUCCCCAGAUAUUUUUUUGGAUUUUAAGUAUUUAGAAAAAAAAUGAUAUAUUAUAUUAUUGUAUAAAUUAUAUUUUUUAAAUAUAAUCUACUAUUGCAGUCUUUUUUUUUUUAUUUUAUUUCGUGAACUAUUUAUAUCUAUACCGAUGCUGGAUUAGAAUUAAAGUAUAUAUUAUAUAUAUUAUAUAUAUAGUAUUAUAAGAUAUAUAUAAUUAUAUAUAUUAUUAUAAUAUAUAAUAAGUAUAUAUAUAAUUAUAACUAUGUAUUUUAGAGAUUUAAUUAUUUUUUAGAAAUAACUUUACUUGAGUUAUAUUGUUUUUGUUUUCUUUUAGUGUUAAAUUAUUUAAUUAGGCCUAAAUAAAUAUACGGUAUCUCAGAAGUGGGGAUAUUUGAAGUGGGGAUAUUUGAAGUUUUAUUCGAAGUUAGAGCAGAAUGGGUCGGGUUUAUCUGAGCUAAAUAGGUAUGAAUUCGGUUGUGGUCGUAUUUGAUACUGAAAAUUUAUUUAUAUAAAAUAUUUUUUUUUUCUUCCUUAGUAGAUCUUUAUUCAACGAUACGGAGUCGAAGCGCAGAUUCGAGUUUUAAAUUGGUUUUCGGGUUCGAAUUUGGGUUUAAUCCGGAUUCGGGUUUUCAAUUUGUUUUUGAGUCCGAAUUUGGGUAUUCAAAAAGCCGAACAGAUCUGAUCCGUUGGCAUGUGGUAUCAUUGCGGCCAUUAAUGUGGUCAUUAAUGGAGAACUCACCCCGUGAGGGGUUCCACCGUUUAGAUUUUUCGGGCCGUCUCUCCUUCCUCCUCUCCGUCUCCGUCAUUGCCAUGAGAGCCAGCGUUACUUCGGUGUUUGCCAGGAGGAUUGCGAACUGUUCCUGUCGCUGUCUCCGCCGUGGCAUGGCGGGGUGGUUUGUACGAUCUAUGCCUCUUCUACUUUGCUUAGAUGGCUGCGAAGGCACAUAACCUUCAGCAACUCACCGGAUCCGGUAGGAUGCGGCCACCGGUGUAGAUGGCUAUAGGGAUUUGGCCGGAUUUGAUAGGAUUUAUGGGUUUCUGAUUUGACCCUGGGGUUUUCCUUUUUCCUUCCUUUUUUCCUUUGUCAAGCUUAUCUACUCAUCUGCCUGAUUUUUUGCCUAUAAAUAGCACCUCUUAUCUUGGUUUAGUUAUUAUUUCUUAUGCUUAUGCUUAUGGUUUUUCCUCUUUACUCUCCUAUUCUGUUAGCUCUUGGUUAUUCUAUUGGUUUUGUGCUACACCUGGUAGCGUGAGGUGUGGAAGUGUGGUUUUUAUCCUGGGCUCUGUGUGUUUUUUAUUAUGUAUGUCUUACUCUUCAUGUAUACUGAUAUGUUCCCCAUCCUCUGCUUCUUCCUGCAUGUGAAUAUUUGUCGUGUUGGUAGCCAGGCUGACUCUGUUGCUUGACGAGAAUCAAAUAUAGGUGUAUAAAUUUUGCUGCUCUUUAUUUUCCUGCUCUGUUUGCCAUACCGCAUGCUAACUACAUUCUUUUCUCUUUUUUUGCAUUGCAUGUUAAUUGCCUUUUUGCUGAAACGGUGGUAUUGGAAUGGCGGGCGAAACAUUGGUUUAGUAGCUUCCAAGGUAAUAUAUAACUAGGUAUUGCCUGUUUAUUUAUUUUCUGCUGGAUUGUAUUGUGUAUUGAUUGCAUGCUUUUGAUGUUUAGUGCCUGAUUAGAGUGCUGUUAUGGCGCCGCCUGGUUAUGGAACUUGACGCUUUUGAGUGCAUCCUCAUUUUUUGGGUGGCUCUAGUUGCGUGCCUUAUCUUUUUUUAGGUUUUUCUACUUCUGCUUUCUCUAGGUCUUUUAGUAUAGGGGUUUGUAGAAAGAAAUGUUUUGGUUUUAUUUAUUUAUUUUUGUUGUUUAGAUGUGUUUGACUUGGUUAUAUAUAAGUUUAGGCAAGUUGUAGGUAGCUGCUUUUGUUUAAAAGAAUAGUGAAAGUUAUAUGUAAGUUCUAGGUAAGUUGUAGAUAGCUGCUUUUGUUUAAAAGAAUAGUGAAAUGGUGUAAGAAAAAUCAAGGAUGUAUCUCCUUUAUUCUAUAUAGGAUUCUGACAAAGUACAAAUAUGUUGUUUCUAUAGAAAAAUAGAGGUACCUCUAAUAUAAAAAAAAAUAAAAUUUUAAAAAUCUGAUCAAAAUAGAGUGUGUUUUUACCAACUCUAAAGAUUCGCUUAAGAAAUAAGGGGCUGAGUUGUGCGACCAAAAAUUAAGGCAAAACUAAAGUAUAUUUCUUAUUUUAGUUUAAACUCCUUUCUAUUAUUUGUGUUUGGCGAAAAAUAAUUUCAUUAGUGAGGCAUGGCGGUUUGGACGGUCUUAUGGCAACCACCGCAGCCUACACGUAAAAAAAAUUAUAUUUUGGUGCGCUUGCUCUUGCGGCAUAAAUUUCUAUUAAAUCUACGUGUAUGUAUGGUUUUGCAUAGUUCUACGCUGAUUUUUUAUUUCCUUUCUUAUUAAUUUUUUUAAUUAUUAUAUAAUAUAUUAUUAUAUUGUUUCUCUUUGGUUUUGCGGAGGCAAUGAUGGUGGCUCUUCUUCUAUAGCGACGGUUUGCAGUAGGUGAAUAAGGUUGGACAUUUUUUAUGGAAUUCUAUAAAGAUAAGAAAGAAUUUUCUUAUUGUUUAAUCCACAUUUGCAAAGGCUUACUUUAUAGUCUCUUAGAAAUAGUUUUGUUAGAACUUAUGAAACAGUUUAACUUUCAAGACUUCAUAUUUCCAAGGUUACAUAUUUCCAACAGUCUACAAAAAAAAAGGUUUAAAUAUUUUAUGCAGCUUAUAGGUUUUUGAAUUUUUUUUUUUAUUCAAACAAUAUUGCUUAUGUUUAAAAUUUUAUUUGUCUGCAGCGUUCAUUUAUGUUUAGAAAUGUGAAGUAACUGGGCUUUAAAUUUGAAAUCUUGAAUACAAACUAUCAAAUUUUUUAUUACUUACACUAGGGGCAGUUGGUGAUAGCAUUAAUCUAUUAAAUUUUGGUCUGCUGGGGCAUGGCAAGUAGAUUGGGCUGAUGACAAUCUCUGCAGCCUGCGCAAGCUGCUAAAUAUUUGGUCCUGUUUUGCAAUAUAUUAGUGUCGGAUUACAGUAAAAUGUGCAGAUGCAAUGAGUCAAGCUGAGCCAAUAUUUCUGCAAUUGUAUUAUUGUCGUUUUUCCUUCUUUUUGCUUUGCAAGUUUUUUCGCUUCUCAUUUUUAUCAUGUUUGGCUUUUGUUUAUGUUGCAGUCGGUAGGGUGGCAUUAUAAUCUUGCAAAAGGAAGUUAACUUAUUUGUUGCCAGUUAAAGAUUUGGUUGUGACAAAUAAAUCUAGAAGGUAACUUAAGAUUUGACACUGUAUUUAUCUAUAUUGUAUGGCAAAACCUCAACACAAGUCUUAGAAACAUAAUUGGGUCUAGACUUUCUAAACCUUUUCUUUCAAAUCUUUAUGCUAUAUAGGGUUUUGACAAAGUCCAAAUACGUCACUUUUAUAGGAAAAUAGAUGUAGUCCUAAUCUUAAAAAAAAAAAAAAAUACUGCCCAAAAUAAAGCGCUUGUUGUACAAUUCUAAAGAUUUCCAUGAGAAAUAGGAGCUCGAGUUGUGAGGAAAAAAAUUGUGAUAAAAGUUAAGUAUCUUUUUGAGUUUAAGCUAUAUGCCGUUAUUUCUAAUUUUUUUAGUAAGACAUGGUGGUUAGGACGGUGUUACAGCAGCCACCGCACCCUACACAUAAAAUAAAUGAUAUUUGGGUGUGUUUGCUCUCACUGCGUGAUUUUCUAUUGAAUCAGCUAUCAUAUAUGAUUUUGAAUAGUUCUGUGUUGGUUUUUUUAUUCCUAUUUAGUUUAUUUUUUGCAAAUUAUUAGCUAUUAUAUUAUUAUAUUGUUUCUGCUUCGUUUUGUGGAGGUCAUGAUGAUAGCUCUUUCUCUAUAGCGCCUUUUUGCAUAUGUUGAAUAAAAUUGGGACUUUGUAGGCAUGGCAAAUUGAUUGGCCUUGCGCCAAUCCCUGCAGCCUAAGAGUUCUAUGUUUCAUAUUGAGUCAGUGUGCAUGUAUGCUUUCGAAUAGUUUUGUUCUGAUUUUAUUUUAAUAUCUUUUUUUAUUAUCCUAUAAGUUAUACAUCCAAAAUUGGUUUAAAUAUUUUAUCUAGGUUAUACAUUUUCCUGGUUUUUUGGAUAUUCGAACAAUAUUGGUUAUUUAUAAAAUGUUAUUAGGCCGCAACAUUUAUUUAUGUUUAGAAAUAUAAAGUAGAAGACUUUUAUUACUUACAAUAGAGACAGUUGAUGAUAGCAUUACUUUGUUAAAUUUUGGUCUGCUAAGGCAUGGCAGGUGGAUUGGCCUAAUGCCAAUCUCUGCAGCCUGCACAAGCUGCCAAAUAUUUGGUCCGGUUUUCUGGUCUAGAUAUUUGAACUCUCAAAGAAGCGCGAAAAAAUAUUUGAUGGAUUAAAACAGAUGAGUGUAUGGUGCGCUUGCUCUUGCGCGGGUCGGUGCGGGUGGCAUGGUGGUUUGAACGGUCUUAUGGUAACCGCCGCAGCCUACGCAUAAAAAAAAUUAUAUUUUGGUGCGCUUGCUCUUGCGGCCUGAAUUUCUAUUAAAUCUACGGCCAUGUAUGGUAUUGCAUAGUUCUACGCUGAUUUUUUAAUUCCUUUUUUUGUUAAACCUUUUAAUUAUUAUGUAAUAUACUAUUGUAUUGUUUCUAUUUGUUUUUGCGAAGGCGAUGAUGAUGGCUCUUUCUCUAUAGUGGCGGUUUGCAGGAGGUGAAUAAAAUUGGGCCUUUUUUGCGUAGUUCUAUAAAGAUAAGGAAGAAUUUCCUUAUUGUUUAGUCCAUAUUUGCAAAGCCUUAUUUUAUACUCUUUUAGAAAUAGUUUUGUUAGAACUUAUGAAACAGUUUUAUUUACAAGACUUCAUAUUUCCAAGGUUACAUAUUUCCAACAGUAUACUAAAAAAAAAAAGGUUUAAAUAUUUUAUGCAGCUGAUAGGUUUCCGUGGAAUUUUUUUUAUUCAAACAAUAUUGCUUAAAUUUGAAAUCUCGAAUACAAACUAUCAAGUUUUUUAUUACUUACACUAAGGGUGGUUGGUGAUAACAUUACUCUAUUAAAUUUUGGUCUGUAGAGGCAUGGCAAGUAGAUUGGCCUGAUGGCAAUCUUUGCAACCUGCGCAAGCUGCUAAAUGUUUGGUCGUAUUUUGCAAUAAAUUGGUGCCGAAUUAUAGUAAAUGUGCAGGUGCAACAAUGAGCCAAGCUGAGCCAAUAUUUCCGUGAUUGUAUUAUUGUCAUUUUUUCUGCUUUUUGCUUUGCAAGUUUUUUUGCUGCUCUUUCUGUCAUGUUUGGCUUUUGUUUAUGUUAAAAAACAUAAUUAGGUUUUGACAGUCCAAAUAUGUUACUUUUUUUUUUUGUAUCUGUAGGCAUUUAUUUUUCUACUGUUAUCUUUUCAUUUGUUAGAGAAGAAAGAAUAAAAAAAUUAUUUUUUUUAUUCUGCUGGUGCAUUAUUUUUUUUCCUAUGAUCUGAUUAAUGGUUUAUUUUAUCUAAGGCAUGGCGGGUUGGUCAUUUUUAUGGUGAUUCUCGCAGCCUGUGUAUAUAAAAAUUAUUGGUACUUUUUUUUAAGUGUUGUGGAAUGUUGAAUAUUAUUUCAACUGAAUUGAAUAAUAACUAUGUGUUUUUGAAAAGCUAAGCUGACCUGAAUUUCUCUUGCUCUAUUUUUUUUUUACUUCUCCUCUUGAUACUUUUGCACUUCAGAAAUUGUUAGUACCUUUUUUACCUACAAUGUGGAACAUUGAAUAUUUUUUCUAUUGAAUUGCGUAAAAAAUUAUGUAGUUUAGAGAAAUUGUUAGUACCUUUUUUUUACUUCUCCUUUUGAUAAUUCUGCACUUUCAUUGACUAUUCUUUCACUCUCUAAGCGUUCCUAAUUCAUACAGUUUACAAAUAUGAUUAUGACGGUGACUGCAUUCUGUAUACAUCAGAAAUUAAAAUAUAUGUCGGUUUAUAAAAAAUAUAAAGAAGAUAAAUGAAUCUGUUGCGUAGCACGGAUUCCUUAACUAGUAUUACAUAAUAGCAUAUAAUAUAAAUUUAUAUAAGUAAUGAAGAUAAUAUCAUAUAAUAUAAUAAUAACACUAGUAAUUGUUGUUGUUGUUGUAGUAAUAAUAAUAGUAAUAAUCAUUAUUAUUAUGAGUAGAGCUACUAUGCUAUCGGAAGCAUAAAGUGGUUAAUGCUUCCGAUUUUUUAGCCCUUAGAUCAACCCCAUUGAUCAUUUCUAACUAUUAGAUUAAUAUUAUUAACCAAUGGGGACCACUCAACCCUAGGGAGACCACUCAACCUUAAGAGGACCGCUAUCAUUUCAACCGUAGAAUUUUUGAUCCACGGGCUAAAAAAUCGGAAGCACCAACUACUUUAUGCAUCCGAUAGCAUAGUAGCUCUACACUUAUUAUUAUUAUUAUUAUUAUUAUUAUUAUUAAACUGUUAUAAUUAUUAUUAUAUAUUAUAAGAUAUUUUAAUAUGUUAUAAAAAAAAUAUAUAAUACUAGUGUAGUUAUCCGCGCGAUGCAGCGGGUAGAUAUUAUCGAAAUAAUUAUUUUAUUUAUUAUCAUUAAUCAUCGAUGAUAGCCUGAAAAAAUAAACCUGAAAUAUACAAUUUAUCAAAUAUGUAAAAAAUAUUACUCUAACUAUAAAAUAAAGAAUAUUAAUUUAAAUAAUCAGCAAGAAUCAAAUUGGUAAAAGAGCAACAAUAACACAAAGCUGCUAUAACUACUGCAAUAGCAUUUCCAACAAACCAUUAUCUGACUCAUUGCUUUCUUGGUGAGGUGGUUCAUACUUUUUUUUCUAUAUCCUAAAAGAAAGCAAGUAAUUUAUUAACUGAAGUAGACACAAUAAAAAGAAUUUUAUCAUAUCAAGAGGUAAAGUUACAGCAUGAAAUGUAACCACUUUCGAUCUAAUUUUUAAACAAAUUAAUUGAGCUACUAAUACACCUUAGGAUUGGUGGAUAAAAUACUUGGCUUGAAAUCAUAGAUUCAAGGGUUUGAGCUUCCGUGGCUUAGAAAACCUACAGACGUCAAUGUGAAUUAUAUGAAAUGCUCUAUUCACAUUAUAAAAUAAAUAAAAAGUAGAGGCGUAAGUAGGUUGCGUCAGAUUAGUCUUAGGAAUUGCUUCUAAUAUUUUUUUUUCUUAAAGAAAAAUUAGAUGUAUACUCAGAACCUAUAAAGAGAAUGGAAGAGAAGAGCACGAUCCAAUUUGGACUAGCUUGAUAUUUUUUCAUAUUUAUAUAUUUUGAAUCUUACAUAUAUUUUAUAUCAAAUUAAAAAUAUAUAUAUAAUUAGUUAUUCAAAUUAUUCAUUUUUUAGCUCCAAUCAGUCCGUAAAUAACUAUUGCCAGUUACGAAUAAUGGGCCAAAAAAAUGAUCCAAUUCUUAUCAUAUUUUGAGCACGAAAAUUCUAGUUGGAAAGAGCCAUCAAAUUCUAAAAAGCUCAAAAUAAAUAAGUAAAUAAAUAAAUAAAUAAAAUCAAAGGCCAUUUUAGUCGAUUGUAAAUUCAAGUUUGGAAAGCUUUUAACCUGCACAUAUAAAAAAAAUACUGACCAGAUAUUGGCAUCACCACCACGGGCACCGCCACCACCAAGGACGCGGUCGCUAUCACCAUAGUCAUUGUCGGCAGUAGCACCGCCCUCAGCCUCGAUGCCGCCCAGCCCCCCUCGGCCCGCAUCUCCCAUCGCCCUCCGGUCCUCUAAUAUAAAAUUAACUCUUUAAAAAUAUUUUAUUAGAAAAUUGCUAACUUUGGUUGUGGUGAUAUGUUCUUACUUGAUAAAGUAAUAAGUUUGUGAAAUUAAUAGAUUUGGUGCAAAAAGAAGAUGAAGGGGUGGAAGUUUAUGCUUAAGAGAGGGAGAAGGUAAGGUACACGUUGUAAGGAGAAGAUGGAGGGGUGAGAGUUAAGCCGAGGGGAAGAAAUUAUAUAUGUUAAUUAAUUAAUAGAAGUUUGUGAAAUUAAUAGAUUUAUUGAAAGAAGAAGAUGGAGGGGUGAAAGUUUAUGUUUAAGAGAUGAGGAAGGUAAGGUAUAUGUUGCAAGGAGAAGAUGGAGGGGUAGGAAUUAAGGCAAGGAAACAUGGGCUGAGUUUAAAAAAAAAAACUUCUAAAAUAAUGUGAUUGUGCCACAUCAGUAAGAUUAUUGAGAAAUCAUAUAUGUUAAUAGAUAACCAUAAUUUUAUAUUACUUUAAUUACUUUAAUAAGCCAAGAAUAGCAUAAAAUAGCUCUAUUCCACUAAAAGUAUGGAAUAACUAUUUUCGAAUCAUUUUAGAAUUAUCUAGAACAAUCCGAUUUGAUCGAAAUAAUUUUUUUUACUUUUUUUUUUUUUACACUAUUCGGCAGAUUAGUGGAGAUAAUUUUUGUUAUGUAACCACCAAUAGAAUUUUUAUGGCUUAUAUUUUUUUUAUUCGCCUUGUCAAAUUUUUUAUUUAACAUUUUAAAAUAGAAACACAAAAAAAAUUUAUAAAUUCUUGGAUUGUCAAUAUUCUUUUAAAUUUUUUUAUUACUAAAAUUAAAAAAAAAAAAAAAAAAAAAAAACUAAAAUUAAAAAAAUAAAAUUUUCAAUUUUUUAGAGUACAUGUUACACCUGUAUCAUUUGCGCAUUAAAAUUUACAGAGAAAAAUUGAGGGCGAUUGUCGACCGACCCAUCGCACCGAUUUGACUAUUUUACCCACCUCUCUCUCUCUCUCUCUCUCUCUCUCUCUCUUUCUCUCUCUCUCACUCCGAUUCCUUUCCCUCCUCUUCUUCGUACGCUCGCUCUCGCCGCGAUCGAUCUCUCCUCGCUCGAUCUCGGAAUCGCGAGGGCGAGGAUCCAUGGAGGCGUCCUCAUGGGACGCCCUUCGCAAGCAGGUGAUCGAUCGAUCUCGCGCUUUCCCUUUCCUCGUUCAUUGAUUUUGGCAUUCGAUCUGUUUCCGUGGAUUUGAUGUUGUUGUUGGACGAUUUGGUCCAUGUACUCGUUGGUUCUUGGAUUUUGUAUCGAAUACGCCCCGGAUCUGGCCCUUUGAACCGAAUUUGGGAGCGGAUUCGAUUGGAAUCUAGGUCAAAUUGUUGAGUAUUGGGAUUUGUUGUGAAUUGAGAUCUUUAUAUGGAAACGUUGCGUAUGUAUGAGAAAUGAGUCUAAUUGGAUUAAUUAGGUGAGAUAUGGAAGUUAACAUGUAUCUUGUUAGGUAUGCAGAUCCAUUUAUUUGUCAUCAUGUUUCAAUGCCAUCACCGUAUUUCAUCUAUGUGUUUGCCAUUUUAAAGAAUGAAAGAGAGAAUAUUGGCGUCUACUUUUGGUAUGUGGAAUAACACCCUAUGGAUGCGUUUUGGGGUUCUAAUGGACAAUUUGUUCUUGAUAUGUCUUAUGAAGAGGACAAUGUAUGCUUCUUGUGAAUAUUUGAGCUAAACAACUCAUAAUAAUCAUGUCUCUGAUUAUUUGAAUGCAAAGAAGAGCUUGUUUAGGGUGUGUUUGGAUUAAUUAGGUGAGAUCUUUAUAUGCAAACGUUGCAUAUGUAUGAGAAAUGAGUCUAAUUGGAUUAAUUAGGUGAGAUAUGGAAGUUAACAUGUAUCUUGUUAGGUAUGCAGAUCCAUUUAUUUGUCAUCAUGUUUCAAUGCCAUCACCGUAUUUCAUCUAUGUGUUUGUCAUUUUAAAGAGUGAAAGAGAAAAUAUUGGCGUCUACUUUUGGUAUGUGGAAUAACACCCUAUGGAUGCAUUUUAGGGUUCUAAUGGACAAUUUGUCCUUGAUAUGUCCUAUGAAGAGGACAAUGUACGCUUCUUGUGAAUAUUUGAGCUAAACAACUCAUAAGAAUCAUGUCUCUGAUUAUUUGAAUGAAAAAAAACAGUUUGUUUAGGGUGUGUUUGGUUCACUGUAAACGUAGGCCGAAAAUAGUUUGGGUCUCUAAAUAAGGAUUUAAGUGCCGUGGCACAAGGUCAUGCCGGAAACUUACCGGCAUGGUACUGAACCAUGCCGAUGCGUGCCGAUCACAAAAAAUUUAUGUGUGCUUACACAUAAUAGCGUGAAAUUUUUAUUUUCUUUAGCAACAAAAUAUUCUAACUGUUUAUUAUAUAUUUUUGUCAAAUAUUUUAAACUUUAUUGAGAAAAUUACUUACUAAUUUAAAGAAUAGAGAGUUUUGAGUUGUUCUAUCGGCAUAAGGCUGUAUCGUGUCGAUAUCUUGUUGACACAAUACGGUACGGUAGAUACGGCUAAUGCCGAUAGGCAUUUAAAUCCUUGUCUCUGCAAGUAGUUUUUUCGCUGUUCAUUUCAACAUAAAACUGUUUUCCACAUAAAACAGUUAUACAAAUUUUGAAGUGAAAUUGGUUUUUUGUUUUUGGCUUCUUAAAAGCAAAGAAUAAAAAAUUCUCAUCCGUGGCUUUGGACGGGGUUAUUUAAGGAUUCACCAAUGCCUCAAUCUUUUAUGUAAUAUAUUAUUAAUUAAUUUAAUUACUAUCUUAGUGUUUUAAGAAUCAUAAGAUUACCAUUGAGUAAAAUGUAAGGUGAAAUGGUUACUUACGAUACUGUUACUUAUUAAAUCUAGUUAUGAUAAAUUAUUAACACACAUCUACUGAUAUUUACUUAUAGAAUUAAGUAUUAUAUUAAAUUUACAACAACAAUAAAAUAUAAUUAUCAUCAGAUCAACUUUACAUGUAAUCAGGUUAACAUUACAAGAAUAUUUUUAUUGAUAAGUUGAUUAGUAUCUAAUUACUAUAUGAAGAUUACAAUAACAUGAACACUUACGUCUGAUAAGAUUAUUCACAAAAAAUCUAAUCGCAAAAUUUACUCAUGAUUAAAAUCUAAUUAUCAUUUAGAUAUAAUAAUUUUGUGGUAAAGUUAUUACAUUUAUUUUCUAAUUAAUUUAUACUCACAACAUUAUGAGGUUAAACUUAAUUUAUUUAUCAUUAUUAUAUUAUAAUAAUGUAAUAAUAUGAAACUUUUAGUCAUUAAUCAUUGAGCCUAUUCUAAUCAAAUUAUGAUAAACCUUUUUUCAUUGUUUUUCCUACAAACCAAACAUGCAUAUCCAAAGAACUUUUUUUUCAUUUUCAUUGAAGCAAACACUAGCAGUUGUGAAAUUUCUUGUCCAUGGAAAAUCUUUUCUGCUGGAAACUAUUUUCAGAAGUUUUAUAACGAACCAAAUAGUCCCUUAGGUCUGAUUCGGUAUUGUUGUCAUUUUCUUUUUUUCUUUCAAACACUGAUUUUAUAUAAUUUGAUAUACUAGCGGAAGGACUUUCCUCUUGUUGUUGUUGUUGGUUAACUUGCAAUGCGCAAUAGCCAAGUGGUGGGUGACAACCUUUUUUAAAAAAAAUAUUGAAAGCAAGAAAAAAGAAGAAAAGUUGCUUCGAAAAUUUUAUUUUGCAUGAUUGCAUCGCCAAACGGACAUCUUGGUCGCAAGGAUUGCAAGCUGUCCACUAUCCCCUCCUACACUUUCAUACAAAAAUUCUAUUUAAAAAAAAUAAAUCAAAAUACAGCAAUGAUGCCAAACGAGGCCUUACUUUUCCAUUGUCAUAUGACAUUUGUUGUCGUGUUAGAAUCCUGCAGACAACUUGUUUAGCCUUCUAUAUUUUGAAAUGCUGAAUAUGUAAAUGCAUUGCUAUAUGAAAUAUUGAAAUGUAAUGGAAAGAUUCUCUAGUGAUGCUAAUGCUAUAGACUCUCUGCAUGUAUCUCUGUAACCUUGUGGGAAUGAUCAACGAACAUCUGACAGCAAGAUUGCUUACUAAUCUUGUAGUAAUAUUGUUAUUCAGCAACGAUUGAGUAGCUUCAUUUGUUUCUGGGUCAUUGUUAAAACUUCAAAAGCUAGAGCAUAAGGUGUUGUUGCUAUAUGAUCUGGUUGCGUUGUUUGUUGUUUUGCUAAAAUAGAAUCUAUAUUCGUUUUCUUUGUAGGCAAGGAAACUUGAAGCUCAGAUAGAUGACCAGAUGAAUUCAUAUCGUAGGUUGGUUGCCACCAAACCUGAUGGAUCAGAGAAUGACCUUGAAUCUGGUAUAGAGAGACUACUGAAGCAACUUCAGCAAGUGAAUACACAGAUGCAAACAUGGGUAUCCUCAGGAGGGUCGGAAGUUCUUUCUCAUACCUUGACUCGUCAUAAAGAGAUUCUGCAGGACCUUACACAGGUAUAGUUGCUUCUUACCCAAUAAAUCAAAAAAGUGAAAUAGGAUGUGAGUCUUACUUUCAUAAGGAAGGCUAAUAAAAGUGGAACGUACACUUCUGUCAUGGAUUGCCCACUUUUCUGUCAGGUCCUCAAUUUAAACAUCUUAAUUAUUGGAGCCCUGGCAGGAGUGCAAAUCUUUGUGAAUUAGUGUAGAAUAAGCAAGCUAAGGUUAAACAGUUGCUUUUGGCAUGAAACUAUAUGCAGGAAUUUUAUCGUCUUCGAGGAAGCCUUAGAGCUAAGCAAGAACAUGCAUCCCUCCUCCUCGACUUCAGGGAUUUUGACCGGGCGAAAUUGGAUGUUGAAGAGGGUGCUGGUUCGGAUGGGCAAGCUCUUCUCAGAGAACAAGCAGUAAUUAGCAGAAGUUCAGGACAGGUGUCAUUAUUCUCUUAUCUAUCAACACUUAAAUUUAUUUCUUUUUAUUUUUCUCUCUGCCUUGGAUAUGAUGCAUGAAUAUAAGUUGGUGCACACACAUAUGGAAAAAGCUAUAGCUAAGUACCAUUCUGUUAUGUUAAUGUUAUGUUUUAUCUAUAUGGGCUGUUUCAUUUAUCGUUAUUUGAAUAUUAUUAAAUACACAGUGUAAGAUCCACAUUUUAUUUAGUUAAUUUUUAUAUUGAUGGAGGGUUCCAACUUUGUGAAUCAACUUGUCACCUCAGUAUUGCUGACCGUUCCUAGCGUAAGUGGCAAAUGACUUGAUAACUGGUACUUGAGGUUCCAAGUUCAAAGUCUAGUUGCUUUACAUUUUCAGUUAAGUUCAUUUCUAAAAAAAAAAAAUGAAUGAAGUGGGUAGCAAGAGAUAAUAUAGAUUUUGCUGAAUAAAGAUUAAAGAAAAGCAUUAGAUACUGCUAAUCUAGCUUUAAGCUCCUAGCCUUAAAACCUUCUAUAACAUAGAGGCAAACGCACUUUCCUUUUCCAUAAACCUUCUUACGCUUGGAAUGUUAUAAUUUAAACUGCGUUAGUUUUUUUUUUUUUUUUUUUUUUUUUUACCGAUAUCACUGAACCGAACCAUCUACUCAACCCUACCUCUUUUCUUGAUAUUAACUCUGCCCCAUGUUGAUCAAACUCGCCCAAUUUUCCCUAUAGACUGAUGUAUUGUGUGUAAACUGUAUCACAGAUGGAUUCUUUGAUUUCGCAUGCCCAAUCAACUCUCGGAACACUUGUUCUUCAGCGCUCCACAUUUGGCGGCAUCAGCACAAAGAUAACCAAUGUUAGCAGCCGUCUUCCGGGGGUAUGCACACCGUGCCUUCUUGACCCUCAAAAGAAGAAGUGCUCACUUGAUAGUGUUUAUUUCCACUCCCUUGGACAUUGAUCUUUAAUUGGUAUAAUUGUACAGGUGAAUCAGAUCCUCUCAUCAAUUAGGAGGAAGAAAUCGAUGGACACCAUCAUUCUCUCUCUUGUUGCCUCCGUCUGUACAUUUCUCAUUUUCAUUUACUGGUUGUCAAAGUAAGGCAUAAAAUUGACAUCGCCUUGGAUUCAAUCUGUAAGUGCGUAUUAUUCUAGUUUUUGUUUGUAUUGCAACUAGAGUUGUCACACUGUUAUAUGAUAUAAUGAUCGGCUUCUGAAGUGCCCUUAUAGGACCAUGUAUUCUACCUUUCUUUUUGUCUUUCUCUGGGACAACUCCGUAUAGUUUCUUUCUUUCCAAUAAAUGUGUACAGUAGCUGUUUUGCUCAGCUUUUGACGUAAAAUUUACGUUCGAGAAUCAUGACUUGAUGUGGUUUUUUGUCAAUUAAGUUCUAAUAAUCUGUUGUCUCCAUUAGAAAUCAGAAAAGUAAGCUCAUUUUGGAAGGUGUGAUCAUCAGAAUAAACAACUUGGAUAAUCAGGUAGUAUUUAUUGCUGUUUAUGUGAUAAGCAAGUUUGUUUGUUUUUGUUAGCAUUAGUUCGUCAGUUUAAAUGUAAUUUUUGCAGUUCUGUUGGAAACUCUGAAGAAGUAUAAUUCUAUACAUUUUUGCGCGCCUUGCUGCAUUGUCUAUAUGCAAAGUAAGUUGCAUUUUCUUUUUCUUUUUAUCCUUUUUUUUUUUUUUUGGAGAGAUUGAAAGGUAGCAAGCUAUCUUCAUUGUUCUUUUUUUUUUAGCAAAUUAAUUCAACUAGAAAUGUGAAGUAACUGGGCUUUGAAAUUGAGAUUUCGGACACCAACCGUCAAGCUCUUAGCCAGUAACUUAUAUAUAGAUAGAUUGGGCUACUAUACUAUUAAUAGUACCAAAUUGUUUGUGUUAUUAAAUUUUCAGCCCUUGGAUGAAGGGAUAUGCGGUUAGGAUGAUAGUGAUUUUCUAGGGUUGAGUGUGUGGUUGGUUGAAUAGUAUGAUCUAACGGGUAGAAAUGAUCAAAGGAGUAGAUCUAACGUCCGAAAAUUUAUGAGUAUAAAGGAGACUAUAUUUAUAAGAGUAUAAUCGCCAGACUCAUAUAUGCUAGGACUGCUAUAUAUACUCUUAUGAGUAUGAUCCUUUUGUACUUAUAAAUUUUCGAUCGUUCGAUGGAGAGACGUGCAUUUAGAAUGAUAGUGGUCUCCGAUUAGGAUAAUAGUGGUUCUCUAAGAUUGAGUGGUUGGUUAAAUAGUAUAAUCUAAUGGAUGAAAAUGAUCAUAAGAGUAAAUUUAAGGGGGAAAACUUAAUUUUAGCCUACGCGCUUGUGCUAUUAGAAACACUCUAGCCGAACUCUCUCUCUCUCUCUCUCUCUCUCUCUCUCUCUCUAUAUAUAUAUAUAUAUAAUUGAGCUAGAAUACUUUUACAAGUAUCACUCCCAUGGUGCUAUUAGAUUUUUAGCCAUUGGAUCUACUUGUUGAUUAUUAAUAGCCCUUAGAUCAAACACUAUUCCAUCUACCACCACCUACCACCAUCAUCUCAACCUCACAUCUCUUCAUCCAAUGGCUAAAAACUCAAAAGUACCACCUUCAUGGUGCUUUUGAGAGUAUUCUAGCCCAACUCUAUAUAUAUAUAUAUUCUGUGUUGUUAUUGUAUAAUAAGGCUUCAAUAUGUCAACUAGUUUUGCCGCCAAAUGCUCAAUCUGAUGUUAGAGGUGCUGAUCGAUAUUUGUAAGAAGGAAAUGUUAAAGGAGCAGAAAUUAUUUCCUUGACAAAAAUGGCUGCUUCUCACCAAGUUUGAAGUGCUGAGUAACUCAGUUGGCUUGUAAUGCUCCAGACCAUUAUUAUUCUGAUUGUCGCUUCCUAGGCUGANGGCUCAUCGGUUCACUAGUCGAACAGUCGAUUCCAAUAGUUCAGAGCAGGUUUUUGUCUUAUUCGGCGAUUCGAAUGGUUCAGAGCAGGUUUUUAUCUUAUUCGGUGUAAACGACUGAUUUGAGUUAUGGUCGAAUUGGCCGAACCAGCCGGUUUUGACCUGAUUUUUAAAAUCUUGGUUGCUACUAGAUUAUGCUCCCAGUAAGGGAGGAGUAAAAAUUGAAAAAUGCUACUUGCACACCUCCAAUCAGGUUGUAUAUGUUACACUCUAUCUAUUCAAUAAAUGGGGUUGAACUACUAGUUACAUCAAGUGUCUAGUAAAAACAUCUCAUCUAUUGGAUAAAUAAAAUGUAAAAUAUACAUUCCAAUUGGAAUGUACCCUUGCACUUUAUUACAGACGAUGCAAACUUUCAAUUCAAUCCUCUGCAGUUAAAUUGUGCCUAAAAUGAAGGAAGGAAGACUGAAUAAGAGAAAUAAGUUGAAAAUUAUAGGGUGCAUUCACUUUAUAGGAUGCUUUAUGAUAAGCACAUAAAUAGGCCAAAGCAAUGCUAUCUUUGUUUUAUAGGUGUAAAUCUUACACUCUUAACUUUUUAAAAGUUCAAAAUUUACUCAUUUCUCUUAUCAACCUUUUUUUUUAAUACUAAAAAUUCAAGAGAGUUUUUAAACUCUUAAUAGAUAACAGAGUAUUAUAAAAUGUACAACUUAUUAGUGUAACAGUAACACCCUACAUUCAAAAGAUAAAGACUUAAAUACUAAUAGAAGUAAACUAAGUUGUCUCCAUGUUGUUUUCAGCCGUGGGGUAUUAAAUAGACAAUUAAUUCCGUUAAAUAUAAUUUAGCUACUUGAAUAUUUUAAAAUUUAAUUUUUUAAAUUUUUUGUUAUUAUUUAUUGAGUAAUUAAAUGAUCUCAAGUUCACUUUGUACUAGUUGCAAACCCACAAUUUGCAGUCAUUCCGCUAAGAAGUUAUAAAUAAUUAUAUUAUUUUACACUUCAAUAAUAUAUAAUUGAUAACAAAUUUUGUAUAGUUGUAUAAAUAAAAUAUAUUUUUAUAUGAAGUCCGAGUAUGUUACUUCCAAGAAAUAAAGAAGGUGGUGCUUCCAAAUUUUUAACCCUUGAAUCAACCUUUUUGAUUAUUUUUAAUUCUUGAUAUUAUUUUACUACGGAAACUACUCAACUUUAAGAUAGACCACUAUUAUUCUAAUCAUACAGUUCUUGAUCGAAGAGCCAAAAAGUCGAAUGCGCCAACUCCUUUAUACUUCCAAAAGCAUAGUAGCCUUACACUUUUAUUUGUAUAUAUUUAGAUAAAUAUCUAACCUGUGCGGGUAAAAGUUGGCGCCCGUAAUAGACGCGACGAUAGCGCUGGCGAUCACCGUCAUAAAAUUUUCGUUUCAAACUUGACAUUUAAAAUUUUAAACAUAUAUUUUAAAUUUGACUGUAAAUUUUAAAUUCAAGUUUAUUUUUAAAAAUUUAAAUUUAAUUUAACUUCAGAUAUCAUAUUUAUUUUUACUUUAGAUUUAAAUUUUAAAUUCUAAUUCUCAUUUUAAUUUUGAAUUCAAAUGUAUUAUACAACCGGUGGAGGCAAUAGUUUUUCCAUACUUUGGACCUUUAUACUUCCAACCAAUGGGCAAGUUCGGAGCCUGUUUGUCUUUUUUUUUUUUUUUUUCUUUUUCUUCUUUUUUUUCCCAGUUGAAAACUUUUGCAUUUCCCUUCUAAGAAACAUGUUUGAUAGAAAAUCUAUCAUAUUUGUAUUUGGAUUCGAAUAGAUCUGAUUUAUCGAAGAUCUUAAAUAACAACAAGAGACUAGCUUAUAACUUUUAUAGUUUCCGUGGAAAAGGAGACUUACUCUAUAGCCAUCAACAAAAAAUAUCUUAUAAAAAUAGGAAUAAUGCUAUGGGUAUCUCAAAAGAUAUCUAUAUGUAUUGUCGAUGAGUCAAAUUUUAACAUGACAGCUAAUUUGGAUACCGGUGUGCCAAAUUUGUGAAAUCACAUCACGAAUCUUUCCGCCUAAACGUCCAUCGCUAACAUUUGAUCCCUCACUCUCUCUUGUUAAAUAUAAAAAUAUUUAAAUACCGUUCUCUAAUAGCUUAAGAUUUUAUAAUACAACGAUUGUUUUAUAUAGUAUCAGAGCAGAAGGUUCUGAGUUCGAGUCAUACAAGGCUAAAUAUAAAAAUAUUUUCUCUACAUUUUCUCUACAUUAGACCACUAUGUUGAGGACGUGUUAUAGCUUCUUCGGAUCUUCGACGUGGAGUUUAUUCGCCUCGACGACUAGAGAAGGCAAUAUUUUUCCUCUGUUUUUCUUUUGGCCUUUUUAACUAUAGAUUAUUUUGAAGUAGGUCCCUCACAAUUCUAUUUUUUGAACCUUUUUUUUUUCCUAUUUAGGAAGCUUAAUAGAGUUCUUCAAAUUUGCUACAAGGGUUUUAGAAGUCCCCUUUCCAUUAACUAUUCUAAAAGCCUUGCAGCAAUAUUUGAAAAACACCAAGCUUUCUAAUUAGGGAAAAGAAUAUAUAAAUAAACAGAAAUCGAGGGACCUACUUCAAAAACAACCUGUAGUUAAUGAGCUCCUUAUGUAUAUAGUUCUUAAUUCAGCAGAAAAGUGAUAAAAAUAAGCCAAAAGAAAAUUAGAGAGAAAAAAGGGGAAAAAAAAAAAAAAAAAAAUUAGAGGAAGGUGGUGGCAGAGGAGAAAACCUUUCUCACCAACGUUCCAGCUGGUUGCCUUCAACCAUCCAUCUUCAUAGCCUUCGACAAGACGAGUAAGCUCUGCACUGAAGAUAUGAAGAAGCCAGUAAAGCUCUGCUCUAUAAAGGUCUGCAGAAGGUAGCACGCCCUCAACUUUUGAGUUUUGGGAUACAUGGUCUGACGUCGAGAAUAUAUGUGACUAGCCACAUAAAACCCCUGGGAGGAAGCAGAGAGAGGUGUCACACACCCUAAUAACUUCACCUUAAUAAUAAUAACUGGACUUAAUCAUUUUGGACCAGUAAUUUCAGCCCAACGAAUUAUUGUUGCUAGUGGACUGGAUCGUUACAUUUGGUAUCAGAGCCGGUUCACCAGCCGGAAGUGUGAGAUGAGUCUUGACUGAGCCAGGGUCGGUGAAUGACAGGGUAAGCCAGAGUCGGUGAAUGACAGGCUAAAUCAGUGUCGAAAUGAUAAGACUAGCGAGACAAGUCUCACAUCCCCUGAUAAUCUUGGACUAUGUCUGUUUACCCCUAAAUGGGAGAAGUAUAAAAGAACUCCACCCUAAUAAUAACAACCGAGCUUAAAUAUUUUGAACUGGUGAUUUAUGAAUACAUAAGAGAACUCCACCCAAUGAGUUAUUAUUACUAGUGGUCCGAUAGUUACAAGGUGGUGAAGAUGAGUAAAGGACGUUUGAGCAGGAAAAAAUGUGGGAGAUUACGAUUGGCAUCCGACCCGAAAGAUUUGUAACACCACUGUUUAAAGCAACUGGAAUUUAAAAUUGAGCACUCCAAAUCAGCUCCCAUAUCAAAAUCUGAGUCGUCGACAAUAUACAUAAGUACCCUUUCAGUGACCCAUAGUAUUACUCAAAACAAUAAACAUGAGAGAGAGAGAGAGGGGGGGAGAGACUAAACCGAAAUACUUCCUUUUUUUUUUCACGCAGACAAGUGCUACAAAAUUUCAUAUUUCUCGAAACAGCCUGUAGCCUAACUACGUUACCGACUAAAAUAACUUACGGUAAACAUAAACCCAGCUACCAGAGGUCUUGCAUAACAACACAUGCCAAAGGCCAAAGGAAACAGGUAAUGCUAAACAUUACAACCCCUACCCCCCUACCCAAAGCAUCUACAGUGUCAGUUAAAUCGUCAACAUGACUAGCAGCACCUGGGCGACCAGAUAGGCGAUUUCGGGCGAGAAGCAAAGCAAAACACUGAAGAAUUGCCUAUCCACAAUACCCCAAGAAACUGUAAACAGCAUGUAUUUACCUGAGAGGAAAAAAGGAAAAAAGAAAAAAGAGAAAAAAAAAAAGGGGAUGGGCAAAGCAUGCGUCGAAGUGCCCAAUCAGCUUUGGCUCUUCCUCCGCCUCUUCUUUCCUGUCGAAGCCCCAAUUACCUGUGACUCUACUUUUCCAGUACUCGCUCUCUUUUGGGCCCGGAGCUUGCCUUUCCCGGAGGAGCCAUUCGGAACACCCUUUGAUUUCUGUCGAAGGGUUGGAGUUUCGGCGCUGGAUUUACCUUUAGCUGCAUCUUUGCUGGAACUGGCUACAUCAUCCUUUGAUUUGUUCGUCUUCUUUUGGGUUUCAUCCUGCGACCUUCCGCCGGAUUGAAGGGCAAUGCCCUUUGCACGGCUGCGAGUUCUUGAGACAUCAUCAUUCGACUUGGCGGAGUGAUUGGAGCUAUCAUCCUUAGACUUGCGCGUGCGUCGCGGUGUCUCAUCCUUAGACCUCUCGUCACCUUUAGGAGUCUCUUCUUUAUCCUCACUGACAGCCUUCGACCUGCUUUUACGUUUCGGAAUAACUCCUGUACGCAUGCUGCUGAACUCAUUGCUACAGAACAAACACCCGAUGGAAACAAUUGAGAUAAAGCACUUCAAUAGGUCGAUCUAUUAGACAUUGUUUACCACAUCAAAUGCCAAUUACCUGCUCGGUGUCUGCGUCUUUGCUUUUUUUGGUGCACGACUGGAACUUGUUUUAGCUUUUUUACUUGGCGGCCUGAUUGAGGGGUGAUGGGUGAACAAAUGAGGGGAAAAAACAGUUUCUUCAGUUAGGAAAGAACAGCAAACUAUUAGGUAAAAUCCUUUAAACACAGAUUGCAAGAGAAAACACUCACAUUUCCGAUGAAGCAUCAGGUCUUGGAAGAUCCUCCGAUCCUCCCUGCUAGGAGAAGAAAAUAAUGGAACUUAAAAUGCAGAGAUCAAUUAUAGAAAUACUUGAUCAUGGUGCAUCGAACUAGUACCUACCUCAUCUGCUUCUGUGUUGCCUUCAAUAAGUUCCCAUCUUUCUUCCUUAAGCCGUAAUAUCUCUACAUCACCAUCAUUAUAGACAAUCUGGACGCAUCAAAAAUCAUUUCAGAACAGAAAAAAUACUGUAGAAGUUAAAAAGGUAGUCAAGAACAGCAAAUUAAAAUCAGCAGACCGAUAAAUUUACGCACCGUAUGCUUCUUAGAAGAGGGAUUAUAUGAAUGAACCACACCAUCAUAGAACCUGCAGAAGCAGGAUAAAAUUUAGCAUAUGAGUACACGUAACAGUAGAUCACAGACUCAAAGUAAGUUCUAAAGAACAUGAUUAUAAGAGAUCAGCAGGGAAGUCUGGCAUACGCUUUAUCAGCCGGCCACCAUACUUUAAUCAUGGAGUUAACAAGACUCUCAUCAAGAUCUUUUCUUUGUUUCGAUGUAGAGAUCUGUCACAUUUGAAUAAUUAUAAUUAGAACCCAGAAUCAUGUACGAUGAAAUCUUAGUGAAGCACAUAAAAUAGAAUACCUUUUCUGUCCCUCGACCAUGGUUCCUCUUUGAUCCACUUCGAUUUCUCAGACUGCCAGAACCAGCUUUCUGCACAGAGCCCGCAAAAAACAAAAAGAACACCAAUCAUCUAGAGUAGUUAAAAAAUUGACUAGCUGCAAAAAAUUAAGAAGGAUGCAACGAAGACCCCGAGAUCACAAAUCAACUCAUGAAUCAGAUAAUACUUUCUAUAUGUCAUUUUAAUGAACUAAAUCCUCCUCUGCAGCGUGCAUUUGAGUAAUGUCCAUGAUGAGAUGCGGCACUUCUAGUUCACAGCUACAAGUUUCAAAGGAUCUCCGAGGAAACAACAUGGCCUCAAAAAAUACGUAAGAGAGUUAAAAUGCAGAAAACCCCCUAUCACAAGUUGCCCUACACUCAUGAUAAUCAAAAUCUGCAAAAAAGAAACACCCCCUCAGCUGCACAAUUAUCACAUAAACCCCUUCUGUUAGUCUUCUGGUAGGGUUCUUCUAGAAAAAAUAAUAUAAUAUUUUUAAAAAUUAGUAAAUGCCUAAAGUUCAUUUUCUCUUCCCGAAACAUCAGAGGAGACGGUGAGGAUGAGGUAAUAGAAGAAAAGAAGGACUAGAAGGACGUGUGGUGGAGGGGGCGGCAGUGAAAAGAGGAUGUGGAGGAUGGACACAGAUGGUGAUGAAAAACAGCUGGAGGACAGGGAGGACGAAAUCACAGAGGCGGAGAAUGGAAUGGAGGGAAAGGAUGCGAUGGUGAGGAGGACGAGUGCUAAUCAAAAAAGUAGACAAUUUUCUCAUUAAAUUGAGGGGAUUUUCAAUAGGUUUUCUUAUGGAGAAAGCUAUUUUAACUCGCAACAUUUCGAGACGGUUUCUGCAUCUACAGCCAUGAAUUAACCAUAGAAAGGCUUGGAAAUAAGGGUGUGCAAGCAUAAACUGAGGAGCAAAGAUAGAAGAAGAGAACAAGAAAAAGAUGAAGAGGAGAGAUGCAAUAAGAGCAACAAUCCUCAUGUUUUGUUAAACAAGUGUGAUUUAAACCAAAAUGACCGAAGGAAAUAUAAAAACAUGAACCAUGAUAGGUGACACUCCCUAUCAUGCAACAUACUUUACGAAUGUUUGGAUGUAAAUGAAGCUAAAAGAAAUAUAUAUAUAUAUAUAUAUAGAGUCCGGCUACUAUGCUAUCGGUAGCACGGAGCGCUCCGUGCUACCAAGUUGUUUUCGAUGAUGCGGCUUCCAAAUCGACGAUCGGCUCCGUUAGACUUGAUCUAUACUAUUGAAAGUAUUUGGAAACUAAAAUUUCAAAUUUUUUCGACAUCAUUUGACUACUGAUCAAAAGAUCUCAAAAUUGACAAUUUUAAUGGCCGAUGUGGUGUGUUUGUGAGUUUAACGGUGUAAAACAAUUCAAAUGCGAUGCAAGUUUUAUAGAAAAUUCUUCUCACUAUUUCGAGUAAGAUCAGUAUAUCUGAUCUUGAAUUUAAAUCUUUUAUCAUCAUUUUUUAUGAGAUUUUUAUUUUCAGCCGUUCAAUUUUAGACUACUUGUUUGAUAGGUAAAUGAUAUCGAAAAAUUAUGAAAUUUAGUUUCUAAAUACUUUCAAUAGUAGAAUCAACUUCUAACGGAGCCGCAUCGUACGAUUUGAAAGCCGCUAUCAAUCGAAAAACUUUGGUAGCACGCGCGCUCCGUGUGCUACAUAGUGAUAUAGGUAGACCUACUACUAUAUAUAGUAUAUUAUAUAUAUAUAUAUAUAUAUAUAUAAUAUAUAUGAAAUAGGCUACUAUCUAUAACUAUCUAAGUACCGGAGCUCCGUACUAUAGUCUUGUUUUCGAUCUUAGGGUGUUCAAAAUUAACGAUCCACACCGUUAAAUAUGAUCUAGGUAUAUGAAGUUCUUAGGAAAAAAAUUUUAGCUUUUUUCGACAUCGUUUACUUAAAAAAUAAUUAUGUCAAAAUGGACGGUGGAAAUUGAAUAAUCUUUAAAAUUUGAGCAUAGGACUUUAAUCAAGAUCAAGAAUGCUAACUUAAUCUAGAUAGUUUAAAGUAUUUCUCUAUCAAAAUUGAAAAAAUUUAGAUUCUUCUACACCGUUAAACUCCAAACUCGCCAUAGUAGCCAUUGAAAAUUGAAAAUUUGAAAUAGUUUGAUCAUAAAAUAAACUAUGUCGAAAAAAUAUAAAAUUUUAUUUCUAAAAACUUUAAAUACCCGUAGAUCAUUUUAACGGUAUGGAUCGUUGAUUGAACACUCUAAGAUCGAAAACGAGACUAUAGUACCGGAGCCCCGGUACUAUAAUAUAUAUAUAUAUAUAUAUAUAUAUAUAUAUAUAUAUAUAUAUAUAUAUAUAUAUAUAUAUAUAUAUAUAUAUAUAUAUAUGUCAAUCGCAAUAAACAAUGAUUUCGCUCUUAAGAAAAACCAUUCAGAGUUGGUAACGAGAAAGUAAAACAUGCAGGUAAAUGAAAGGUUCCAACAAAUAACAAGGCUAUUAAGCAAUCAAGAGUGGGGCAGAAGGAGAAUUACUUCGAGAAAAUGGGAAGUGGAAAGGCUAAAUAUAAAUACAAAGGAUUAAUUAGGAAGGCAAUUCCGACCUACCUCAAUACAAUUACUAGAUUUCAUUCAAGCCAGCAGCAGGCAUAUCCUUCUUAAGAACUAGAUUCUUUGUCCACAAAAUAUUUAUAAUAUAAGCAAAACAGAGGACUUCCUGAAUGAUGAGACAGUUUUACAUAAGGAUUAGCAAUAAUCUUAUAAUUACCUUCAAACUGAGCUCUCCAGCUGCAUCUUCAGAUUCACUUGUUUCCUUCGGCUGCUUAUUAUUAGACUUUGGUUGUCUACGUGAUGAUUCUGUGACACCAUCCUUGACCGUGGAACCGACUUUAUCUCUACGAGUCCGAGUUUUUGGCUCUGAAUAGACUGCACUACCAGCCAAUAUUUCACCAACCUUUUUGCUUCCCUUCUUACCCGAGUGUCUCAAGGGCUUCUCUUCUGAGUCGCUCAAAUCUUCUGAAGCCUUCUUAGAAUCUGGACCUUCAGAAGAAGACGUAAGCUGGUCAGACGACAAGUCACCUCCACCUUUCUUGUCAGAUAUGUCUGACCCAGAAGAUCCGUCUCUUUUUGGUGGAUCUGAAUAAACAGUUCCAUCAUUAGCACUUGAAGGAAGUUGAAGAUGAUCUUUAUUGUCAGUAUCCAAUGGCAUGGGUGACUCUGCUUCUUUAUCGGAUGGACCAUCAACUUGUGCACUAUCAGCUUCUCUUCCAUGGUCUUCUCUACUGCCGGGUACUAGUGGUGUUUCUUUCUCGUUAUCAGUCCUAGAACCAUCACUCGUCUCAGUUAAUUGAGUAGACAAAUUAGAACUGCGGCCUCCCAUUUUCUUGGCGUUCAGAUCUGAUAAACUAUCAGGCUUCGCCACAGCUGACUCGACAUUGUUGGAAUCAUCUGUAGUUUCUGGAACAGUACCUUUUGACUCAACACCACGACGAGAUUGUUCAGGCUUCUGUUGAGGUGAAGUUGGUUCCACCACAGAUUCACCAUUACCUAUUGGAACAGUACCAUUGGUCAUCUUUGAUUGCGAUGACUCGUUUGCAAGGGUAUCAGAUUCUUGAGGACAACCUACUUGAUCCAACUGUGAAGAGACCUGACAUUCAUAAUUUAUAAAUUAGAAAAAUGGAAAAAGAAAUCUAUAAGACAUUUAUGAUUCAACCAUAAAGCUGUAUUUUAGUCACAGUUACAUGCCUGAGGUAGCUCAUCAGAAACAGCCCUCUCAGAUAGCUUAUUAUCAUCUGCCUGAAACACCAUAAAAAAACUAACUUAUCAAAGUCUCAAUCAAUAAAAGCAACUAUAAUUACAAUAAGAUUUUCAAUGCAGAGUCAAAAGGAUUAUAAAUGUGUGGUAGCAAAUUACUGAUAACAGUUAGAUGGUUUAAGGUGUCAUAAUGACCCUUCUCAGUUCAAGAAACUAAGUCCGAGUCUGAAGUAGCAAGUUAGCUCAAGAGUACACGACUGAGAAAUCUCUGAUAUUAUAACUCAAACAACUACAACUACAGUUAGAAAAAGGCAUCUGCAUAGUCUUCCCCAUUCAUUCAGUUAAACAAUACCCAGAGUCGACAACUAUACAGCAUAAGCUAUUGAAGAUUUAAACUACCAUAUGGAUUUCCAUCAAUUGCCACAUACAAUGGUGUUUUCCCGUGGUGGAGAAAGACUCGCAUUCUUCCCAGAAUCAUUUACAUCGGUGCGGUCCGUAGCAUCAGAAUUCUCUUGGCGUAGAGAGCCAACAACCUUGCUAUAAUUACUUAAGGGAGUGUUUUGGACUAAUUUUAUCAAAGCCGGAUUCAGUUUUACACCACAGUUACGAACGACUUUCUCUGCAAGUCUGAAUGCUGUAGGAUUGAUUUCCUGUAAACAAGAAUAAAAAGAAUUGUGAAAAUCAUAUAGAUGGUUGCAGUUGGAGAUUAAAGCAUUAUAAGGAUGGAAACCUACUUUGCUCUCCUUUUUUAGACUCUCAAGAAGGCAAGAGACAAGUUCUGCUGAGAUAUCUUCACUCUCCUCAAUCACAAGUGUCAUUAUAGUCUCCAUUGAUGAGAAGACAUUUUCUGGAUGGUUCGACCUGAAAUAAAUUCAAUUGCCCUUUAGUAAUAAAUUAAAAAUAAUUAGAAACAAUUGAAAAGUGAAAAAAAUAUAAAAGAAAAAUGCUGACAACCAAAAAUUUAUAGUUUAUAUAAUAACCAGUAGACUGUAAAACCAAACAAAGAAAAUUUCGAUUAAAGAAAUUUAACUUUAGGAAAGCGCCAGCUAACUUGAUAAUUAAAGCUCGUACAAUGUAUCCUGGUUGCAAUAGUUUUAAGUCAUGAAAUCAAACCACACAAAAAAGCAGGUAGAUUUGUAUAUAUGCUGAUCUCCACAAACAAUGAUAUGCAUUUGACCUCCCAAACUAUUUUCGAAGAAAAAAAAAAUACUCCCAAACACAAGAAUUGAAUCCAAACAGUGGGUGGUUACUUCUCUUCCAAUUAGAAUUCAAUCCUAUAUAACUCAGAAGAAGGUACAAAGAAGGUACCAAAAUUGGCCACAUUUUAGCUUUCAUUGUGAAAGAAUUAGAAUCUAAUUGAUAUGUCACCAGAUUAAAGUAUCCAUGACUAUGACAGAAGUUUUAUUUUCAACCAAAUUAUUGCCGCACCUGCAUGUCCUAUAUGUAACGACUCAGGAGUUGCAUCAAAUUCACAGGUAGAAGAAAAGGAGGUAACGUUGGCUAGGCCUAACCACUAAGUGGUGGCAUAAGAAAGAGGCUAUUGGCUUCACAGACACUUUUGACAACGAGCAAAAAAAUUGGUUAUAAGCAAACCGAAGAUCAUUUUAUGACAACAAUAACAGGCACAGCUGAACAUUCAAUAAUAAGGAUUAGAUACAUCACCUUAACAAAUAAUAGAGGAUAUCAUGUAGAACCUAAAGUGUCUAACAUAACAGUUACCUUUUAGGCUUUUUGUUACAACAUCAUAUAUGACUAGCAUUACGUAUCUGCUUUAUCACUUGAAUUUAUCUCUUUCGAUGGCAGUUUAUAAGAAGUUUGCUACCUCUUCAGAUGUUUACCAGUUAUGCUCUAACAAAGCAGCAAGAGGCAUCAUUUCUUUUACUAUUGAUCAGCAGCAUUCAUUGUAGACUUCCUAUACCUAUUGGCGUACAGUUGCAAUGUCAUAAAAUAUUAAGAGGGACACAUACUAUGGAGAUAGAACAGCCUGUCAGAAAUUUUUCAUAGUGGCUAGUCUCAAGACUUAAGCAUGCAACAUCUACAUUAUCAAGUAACGGUCCUUGAUCUCUAAUUUGUUUUGAUUCAUAGCUAUGUAGCAGACAAUAAAUAUUGCUGUUCCGGUCUCAUUUUAAUUGAAUCCCAUGUACAAACAAGGCAACAGAUGUUGCUACUUUUAGAUUAACGCAACUGCCUCAGUAGAGGCUAGGUAUUCUGAAUUGUCUGCCCAAUGGCUGGACCACUUGAUAACUUUAGCAGGAACAAAAAUGUCAAAAUAAAACUGAAAAGGCAUUAAUAGACCUUAUUACCUUAUGGAAUUCAGGAAAUGACGAAACAUAUGUAGAAUUAGGUCAUCACAUUCUAGAUCCAACAUCACAACGCACGAUCGAACCUUUGCCACAGUUUCAAGAAUUGAAACCCUCUUCAAAUAUAAGGAACUGGACAUAUCAUCCAACUUUUCAAAUGCUUCCACUAUUCUCUGAAACACCAUCUGAAAUUUCAGAAGAAACGGUCAAACAAACUUAGCUCAAUGAGUCCAAAAUGGCACAGGAAUUCCUGGCUGCAAUUAUGACAGUGCUGACCAAGGUGCUUAAUAGUAGAUACACAAAAAUAUUAGUGGUUUUAAGAAAUAAGUAAUUGAACCUUCAUUAAAUCAUCAUCAUAAGGAGCAUCUGGUGCCGUUAUUCUCGUGAUUUCACUUGCACAUGAGGCCACAGAAACUCUUACAUCUGCAUUAGGAUGUCUCAAAAGCUCUUCGGCAACUAGGGCAUUCAUUGCAGGACGAAUUGCAUUUAUCAUCGAUUGAGACGGUGAUUGUUCCACCUUCAAUAACAAUCUUUCUGCUCGCUGUAUUUAGAAUCGAACAAGCUAAGAUGUUUUGCAACAGUAGAUGAUGUGCGAAAAAUAAACUGAUUAACUACAACGGAUGCAUAAAAUAAUAUAUCAUUAAAACCUUUAAGAAAAAAAAAACUAACUUCAGCAUGUGAAUAAUACGCAAUUUAUACAAGCGUCACUGCUACCAUCAGGCAUAAAAUGUUUAAUUCUCAGGCUUUGAGCACAAAUGUAAAAAUGCACAAAAGAACAAAACAAAUUAACAUAUAGACUAGCAUUAGCAAAAUAUUAGUAAAAGCAAUAAUAAUUUGCUACCCCAGAAUAAACAUAAUAAGUAAAAAGAAAGAAAAGUCUUGCCCAAAGGAAGAAAACAGAACUGAUUAAAACACACAAUCAUUGGCAACAAGAAUAAAAAAAGAAAAAUCAGCAUCAAAAGACAGAUUAUCCCGUCUGUUAUAUUAGUUCACUCUUAUUGUAGUUAUUUCCUACUGAGUUUAUACACUUGAAACCAUCCUCCCUCCACAAAGUUUCAAUCGAGCUGAACAAAUAACUAACAAAGAAUGAGAAAGUUUAAUUCCAUUGUCUAGCCCAACAAUUUGCUUUCGCUACGGUUUUCAAUGAGAUACUACCCAAAUAGCCCCAGCACAGCUCGUUCCAAUUAACACGCUGGCGCAUGCAGUUGUCUUACCUCAACCUCUCAUUGGAAAAGUUUCUCCUACUUAACAGUGUAUAUUGUUCAACAAAGCACAACUACUAAAACUGUUAAUAUAUAAGCACACAUAAAGUGAAUGGACAACCAAAUAAAGCAUCGCAAUCCACAGCAAUCAACUUUCAGUUUCCGUUUUCUUGGCUAAAACAGUGUAAUCCAUCAUCAAAUUUAAAAAGUACUACAAUUAUAAUACCAGGGAAAAGUUUUGCAAAGGCUAUAGGAUCUAUCCAAUGUUCUUGCUAGUAGAUUCGAGAAGUUCUACUUCCUCAGAACAAAACUGACUCCGCAUGUAUCUACUAGAAGAAAAUGUAAUACAAAUCUAUAGAACAAAACAAUAUUGCACAAUAUCAGUCUCUGUCGCUUUCAAUUCUUCCGAAAAUGAGAUCGAGCAAGCAAAAAACCACGUCCGCACAUGUAUUGCAACGCAACAUGGUGACAGCACAUACGAAACUACAAAGAAAUUGAAACCCUAAUACUCUAAACACAGAAAUAUACAAACAAUCGAUAUCAAAACAGAGCGAAAUCUUUAAUCCAAGAGCAAAAGCAAAGGAAGAGUGCGUAUAGAACGAUUCACGUAACGAAAAGAGAGCGAAGAGGACUCACAUCGAGAAGAGGGAGGAGCUCUUCGACAGAAGUCGCCGGCGAGCGGAGACGAUCGCCGAUUUUACGGAGCCGAUCCUCGAGUCCCUUAUCCGCGCUCGCCAUCUCCCCUCCGGAGAUCACAGAUCCCCUUCCUCCGCCACCACCAAACUGAUCGAAACCCUAGAAAAACCCUAGAAAUCCGGAUCCGAACGCGAAUCCACCGAUCGGAGGACGCGAUCGAGCGAAUCUACGGAAGAGAAAACCGCAAAACGUCCACGGAUUUAGGGCUCCGAUGGAUUUCGCAGCUAGGGUUUCGAGAGGAGCUCGCCGUUAUUUACCUUCUCCGACCUUUUUUUCCCCCUUUUUUUUUUUUUUCUCUUUCGCUUUUUGGAUUCGCAACGUUGUGUUUCUUUUUCUCUCCCCUUUUUUCCUGGUAUUUUUAAAUCCUUUUAAUUUACAUUUAUUUCUUAUUAUAUAUAUAUAUACAUGUGGCACCCUCGACGUACGUGAAGAGUAAUAAGGCGGAUUCGGCACGGUUUAUUCACUGGAUUUUACCGAGGGGCCUCGCGUCCGCGAACCGGGUUUUUCUCGGCCUUCGGUUCCAGCGCGGAGAGGACAAAUGUUUUCCCUGCACCGAGUGUACGAUUGCAUUUCAUAUACCACAUAUUUAAAAGUAAACAAGGAUUAAUUGCACUCCAAUGUCCAAACAGGGUCUUAAUAUUUAUAAAAGCACCAAUGAUAUUUUACAAUUUGAAGGAGUAUUUAUAAAAUUACAACCCGUCACGAAGAAAUUAACCCUUAAUUAAUUUUGUGACAUGCAUUAAGGUGUAUUAAGUAUAUGCAUAAACCGGGUGCAAGGAGUUUUUUCUGUUGAGAGGCGGGAAAUAGCCCACGCGCCCUUCAGUCACCCCCGGCGAACUGACUACUGUGGCCUUCGUGCCCAGUAAAAAUAUAUGGAAGCGUAGACAUGUCAACGGAUUGGACUCGGGAUGAAUUUUUAAAAAUUUGAAUCCAAAUCCGACUUUAAACCUAAGAUCUGAAUUCAAAUUCGAAUCCGACAGAUUUUAAAAAUUUAUAUCUAAACCUGACCCGAUCAAAAAUUCGAAACUCAAAUCCGAACAAUUAUUUUUUUUUUCAAUAUUUCAAAAUAUAUUACAUUAAAUCUAAAUUUUUAAAGUUAUAUAUAUAUAUAUAUUUAUUUAUAUAUAGUUGGACUGGGCUACUAUUAGUAGCAAAAUCUCAUUGUUGCUACAAGUUUUUUAGCAUUUGGAUCAACUCUUUUCAUUAUUUCUAACUAUUGGAUUAAAUACUAUAAUCCAGUGGGGACCACUCAACCAUAGAAGGACCACUCAACUCUAACUGACUAAUAUCAUCCUGACCCUACAAUUUUUCAUCCAAGGGUUAAAAAUUUGAUAGCAAAAAGAGCGUUUUACUAUCAAUAGUAUUCCAGCCUAAUUCUAUAUAUAUAUAUAUAUAUAUAUUAUGCAUAAUAAAUUCGGGUUCGGGUCGAAUUCGGGUUCGGAUCAGGUAUCGUUAAAAUUCAUAUUCGAGUCCAUAUCCAUCGAAUUUUUAUUUUUGAUAUUCAUAUCUGAAUCAAUAUCCAUUUAGCAUUAGAUAUACCCGCUUCAUUCGGAUUCGGAUUCGAAUAAAAUUUCGAAUAUCCAUACCCACUACUAUCAUAUAUCUUAUAUUCUUUUAAUCCAAAAGUCAUCAUUUCUGACUUAUCGCGGACACGUGCGCCGGCAUACAUAUAUCUAUAUUAUGUAAAAUUAAAAUUUAUUUAAAUUUUAUAAAUUCUAGAAUUCCACCCGUAAGAUAUACAUCCCUAUACCCUGUAAUUGGUGUACAAAUAGUAUUUUAUUCAUAAAAUUUAGAGAAAACUUCAAAUACCCUCUUGUGGUUUCACUCUUUCUCACUUUAGUAUCAUGUGGUUUAAAGUGUAUCAAAUUAGUACCCUGCGAUUUUGCACUUUCUCACUUUAGUACCCUAUGGUUUAAAGUGUAUCAAGUUAGUAUCAUGUGGUUUCGCACUUUCUCACUUUAAUACCCUGUGGUUUCGCACUUUCUCACUCUAGUACCCCUAUAGUUUAAAAACCAUAGAGUACUAACUUAAUACAAAAAUAAAAUCACAGGGUACGAAUUUGAUAUAAAAAUAAAACCACAGAGUACUAACUUGAUACACUUUAAACCACAGGGUACUAAAGUGAGAAAGUGUAAAACCACAGGGUACUAACUUGAUACACUUCAAACCACAAGGUACUAAAAUAAAAAAAUGCGAAACCACGGGGGGGUUUUUUGAAGUUUUUCCUAAAAUUUACCAAACUAAGGACUAUUGGGCUAAUUACACUUUUGGUCCUCAAACUAUGAGGCAUCUAACACUUUGAUUUUCAAAACUUUAAUUCAUUAUAAUUUAUUGCUCGAACUUUUUAAAUUAUUACAAUUAAAUUCCACAACCUAUUUUAGCUGACUAAAUGUUGACAUAUUGAUAAUGUAGAAGUGAUGUGGAAGCAUUCUAACUAAAUUGGAUUGUGAGACUUGAUUAUAAUAAUUUAAGAAGUUUGAGUCAGAAAUUAUAAUGAAUUAAAGUUUCAGAUUUAAAAUGUCAUAUCGCCCAUUGUUUGGGGACCAAAACUAUAAUCUACCCAUGGCCUAAAAUUAUUAUUUAUUUAUUUAUUUUAAUUUGUUUAAUUUGGGUCUAAGUCAUAUUUUUGGUUUUUCAACUAUUAGACACAUGACACUUUGAUCCUCAAAAUUCAAUUUACUAUAAUUUCUGGUUCAAAUCUUUUGAAUUAUUAAAAUCUAUUCAUACGAUUCAAUUUAAUUAACUAAAUAUUAAUAUAUUACUAAUGUAAAAAUAAUGUACUAGUAAUAUACCCCAUAAAAUGAUAAUAAUUAAAAUGUCACAUCAUUAUGUAGAGAGCUCUCCCGCUUUUCGUAUAUAGAGUAAUGCUAUGGGUUCCUCAAAAAGUAGCCAUGUAUAUUGUUGAUGACUCAGGGUCUAACAUGACAGCUAAUUUGGAAUACUAAAUUCAAAAUUCAAAUUGUUUCAAACACUGGUCAUGCAUGUGCCAAAUUAUAUCGCUAAUUUAUUCUGCUCGAAUUAUGAAAUACCAAAGAAUCAUCAACCAGAAGUGUGAAACGAGACUCGACAUGAGCCAGGGUCAUAUAGCGGGUGGAGUACGGAUCCCCGACUGACAAUCAUUGUGGGUGGCACGCAGUUCCCCAUAAGAUCAGCUAGGACUAGCGAGACAAAUCUCAUAUUAUUUGUGCUUAUAAGUAUAUUUGAGCCUUAUAAAAACGUCAAAACUUAAAAGGAGAAGAAAUAUAACACCCCUAAUAUUUGAAAUAAUUUUAUAUAUAAGAUAUACUAUGGCUGAAUAUUAUAUCUUAUAAUAUUUAGCCAUAUUAUAAGAUACAUGGGUACCUUUUGAGGAACCACUAGCAUUAGGCUAGUUUUUAUAAGACAUUCUUUGUUGAUGGCCAUAAAGUAUAAGUGUCCUUUCCCAUGGUUAAUUAUAAUUGUGCUUUGCAUUAGUGGAUCUGGCUAUCUAUGGUGUGUAUUAUUUGUUGUGAUAACCUAAUGUGCACUCCGUUAGUUGGUUAAUGUAAUGAUCUAGAGCAUGUUCGGCUCACGAUCAGAAUGAGAAAUGAAAUUGAAUUGUAUCAGAAUGGAAAAUAAGAAGAUAAACUGGUCGAAAAUAUUUGGUAUAUUAUUGAAAUAAAAAUCAGAACGGACAAUCGAAACACUUAGAAAUCUAAAAGAAGAUUUUAGUUAAGAGAGAGAAGAGUAAUGAAGGAAGAGAAAAGGCACGUGCUUGUUAGAAAUAGUUUUGAGCGGCAUAUUCUGAAAUAAACAAAUUCAGGAUUUAAAAUCGAAUUAAGCCAUAAAUGGAUUAGAUCAUUUUCAUUCAAGUGUAGUAUACAAAUCGAAAUCCGAUAUCUGUAAAAUAAACAACGAUUAUCAAAAUCAAUAAAACUUAUUUCGAUUUUAGAGUCUAAAGUAGGUGAAUCAAACAAAGCCCCUAAAAUAUUUGUUUAUAUACGCUGAUUGGCAUUAUUGUCUUUUUUAUUAUUAUUAUUACUUUUUUUUUGGCUGCAAAAUAGUUGGGAAAUUAAUUAUUGUUGUCAAGUACAAUGGCAAUUUGGUUAUUUGGCUUGAUUUCCUGCUAAUCUGGGUUAUGCUGAAGAGGUUAAGUUGAAGAUUAAAUUGCAGGAAUGUUUAGGGUAUGUUAGUUUCACGAAAAAUUAAAAAAAAAAAUCGAAGAAAAUUAAUUUUUAGUGGAAAAGUAAUUUUAGGAUCCUUCGACGUUUAUUAGUUUGCAUAAAAGGAAACAAAUUGGUUUGUAGGGGAAAAAAAAAAAGUAAAGAGUAUUUUUAUUAUUUUCUUUUAUAAAAUAUAAAUUCAAUAUUUUAAUAUGGGAUUUAUAUAGUAAAACUAUACUUUCUAAUUAAUUAAAAUAAUAAUUUAAUAUUUAUAUUAUAUUAUAUUAUAUAAAUAUUAGUUAUAUAAUAUUAUUUUUGCAUGCAAUUUUGAUAAAUUAUAUAAUUUCAAUUAUGUAAUUUACUUCUCUAUUUUCACGUGGACUUGUGUGAGCCACGCUUUGCUUUCGUUUUUGGCUAGGUUUAAUUUUGCUAUCUAACUUUUUAAUUUAUUUAAUUUAAAUCAAUUUAAUUUGAAUCAGUUCAUAACUAUUUAACUUUAAAAUUUAAAUACAUAAUAUAUUUUUACAAAUUUAAUUAACAAAUUUUAUAUAAUUGGUAUAACUAUAAAUUUAUUAAAAUAAGCAAUUAGCUUAAAUUUUGUACCAAAAAGUCAUUAAAUGACUAACAUCAAACAAAUUAAAAUGUUAGGUACUACUGCCAAAAUUUUAAAAGGUUAAGUAGUCAAACCACAAUAGUCUAUAAUUUAAGUUUUAUACAUUUUUACCGAAAAGAUAUAAAUGCCUCUGUUUACUUGUAAAAUUAUUCUAAUUCUAUUUUUUUUUAUUUGUUGUGUUUCUCAUCUCACUUUGAAAUUAUAUACAAUUAAUGAAAGAAAAGGAAGGAAAAAUGCAUGGAGAUCACCUCAACUACAAAACAUUUUGAAAUUAGACCCUUUCUAUAUAUAUUGACAGUAUUAACUAAUUCCGAUUAUUUUGCAUUAGUUAAUGUUAUGACAAACGCACAAACGGAAACAAAAUGACGAAUACGAAACAAUCAAACCACAAGCAGAAAAUAAGAAGAACACAUAGAUUUACGUGAAAAAUUCUUUGCAGGAAAAAAUCACGGGCGAGGGAGGAGAGAACUUCACUAGCGAACGAAAAAGAAAAUACAAUGUUCAGAUGAUACAACCAACCACGAUCUCACGCCUCUAGGGCAAAAACGAAGAGGAAAACUCUUAACGGGUUUCGAAUUCGGCCUGUCGGCCUGAGCCCUCCGCUAUCCAUCACAGACAUUCAUUUUUCCUUCACAAUUUUACUUUUCCAAUUUGGUCGCACCGCGAAGCUGUUGACGAGUCGAAAAUUCGAAUUUGAGUCGAUUAUCAAUUUCGAGUCACAUCUAACAGUUAAUACGGCCAACAUGUUUGCUCACAAAAUGCAUCUAAGAAUCAGCAAAAACACAAUAGCUUGUGAAUUAAAACCACUGAUCUCAGCUAUCACAUGAUCAACUUUAUUAAUUUGCUGGAUAAUAAUGGAAAGCAUGCAUGAAUUCAGCAAACAUCACAUAACACCAAGAAGAUUCAACAGAAGCACAGUACUUGGCCUGCAGAAAAACUCUGAACAAAAUCAAAGGAAAUACACAACACCAAAAGAUGGAAAUUUCACUUCGAAAUUCGCCGCUUCGCCUUUCGCUGAAAAUUUGCGCCUUCUCGCGACAGUAAGAAACUGUCGGCUCGAAAUGAGUCGCGAGAAAAAGACAUUUGACAGCAUAGAUCUAUUGCUGCAACUUUACCUGCUCAUGAUAUACAAUAAGUGUAGUCUCAGCAUCGAUAUGUAAUCAGGGAGUUAAGAAACAGUGAAGUUGUAUGAACAACAACCUGAGAAGCUUUUCCUCCCUGUGCUGUGAGACUAGCCUGGCACUUCUCCUCCACCAGCUUAUCUCGCGCUCUUUCUCGCGAAGAUCUCGCUCCGCGCACUCCAACGCGGACUCGAGCUCGGCAAUCCGCUCUUUCUGCCUUGUUUCUAACAGCUCGUGCAAUCUCCGCUCCAGUUCGCGCGCGGAUACGCCACUGUGAGGAGGGCUUUGUUCUUCUGCCAACUCAUUCCCUCCACUGUAGUGCUUCUCCUGAUUUAUAUGAUGCCAAAGCUUUAAAGAUCUUCUUCAAACAUGCAAUUGUGUUAAGUUAUAUUCGAUCGACUAUUCGAAUUAUCUAUCUUAGAGAUUUUGCUUCAUGCAGAUAAAAGAACAUGUGUGAGCACCAAAAGUGAUCUAAUUUUGAUAUAUAAACACUAAAAAACAAUCAAACAAAAACUUGUAAGUGAUAAAAAAUACCGAAAUAUAACACAACCAUAUAUACUGGCCAAUAUAAUUCAAGUGGUAUAUAAUAUAACAUAAGAUUUUCUUUUCUGCAAUUAAGCUUACCUCUGUUUCGUCUUGUCGAAGAUGCACCGAUGAAUUUUUCUCUUCGACAUUGAGCCGCAGGCGUUCCAAUUCAACUUCAAGCAGCUCUUCCUCCAUCUUAUCUUUACCUCCUCCAGUAUUAUCUCUGACAGCAUUUUCUGCACUUUCCGAAAAUUUGUAAGAAAUGCAAUUGCUUAUGCUGCCAUAUUCAUAACAAUCUGAGUGAGAGAUCAGAGCAGUUUUCGACUCCGCGACGCUAAAAGAGACAUCUUUCUUGUGAUCAAUCUCAUUCUUAAUGUCUGUAAGUAAUAUCUCCAUUUGUUUUCGCAACUCCACCAUCUUGUUUAAUUCGACCGCGCUCGUCGCGAGAAGAAGAACUAGACCUGCACCCAUGCCAAGAUUCAGAGGAACCCCUUCCUUGCCUUUCCCUAGAAUCGCGGAAAGAGGAAUUAUCAGCAAUGAUACUUAAAGCUUUUUAACUCGUAAAAGUUCGAGGAUGAAAAUGAAACUUUAGACUACAGGUUCAGGGAUUGGUAGUGCAAUUUACCCAGAUAAAAAGUACAUCAAGAAACAUAGUGUUAGUUUUAUAUAUCAGUACAUAGUGUACUGUAAGAAAAGGGAGAAAAAAAAAUAAAAAUAAACACCACAUACAAGAAUCUAUUAGGGCCUGUGAAUAUCUUUAUUUGGUAAAUCAACUUAAUUAACUAACUCAAAGAGUUUAUACAUUUGAAUGACAAGGUGUGUAAUCAGAUAUGUUUAGAAUGAAAUAUUGUAUUCUGACUAUAAAUUAUAUUUUCAGAAUAAAAUAAAUCUCAUCGUAGAUAAAAUAUACUAUUCUAUCGAAUCAUGAACAAUAAGAGGUUUGAAAAGUUGAAAUCAAACUUCUUACCUACAAUUAUACUAGAAGAAUUCUCGUAUAGAAUAAGUUAUGCAAAGUUAACUGUAUUAUAAUAAUAUUUUAUGACGCAAUCUAAAACCAUUCAUCAAAUCCAUCCAUUCUAUAACAAAUAAAUCAAAUCCAACAAUCAAAUCCAAUCUACAACUAUAUAUCAAACACAAUCCACACAUCCCGCGGGCUACAAAUCAAACAAAACUGUAUAAAAUCAGCUUGCUCGUUCUGAUACCAUGCAUGUUAUCUAAAAGAUCGAUAUAACAAAAGGCUAACAAGAAAUACUCAUGACACUUACAAACUUAAAAAGAAGAGAAAGGAAGCCUCUCCAUACCUGAAGAAGCAGAAGCAGAAGAAGAAGAAGAACCCUCCACCUCUCUUUCUUCUUCCUCCUCUUCCUCUCCUUCCUCCACCACCACCACCACCUCUUCCUCUUCCUCUUCCUCCUCUUCAUUCUUCUUCUCCCUCUUCCCCUUCCCAUAAGCACAGUACCCCGGAAACCGCACUCGGCACCCGACCCCUUCCCCGCCGCUGCUGCUCCGUCCCGGAGACUGCAGUCGGCGCGAGAGGAGGACUCGAAUUCGGGAGAGCAGCGACCGCGGAGAGUAGUAGUAGUUGGAGUUGUAGUAGUAGUAGUAACACUCAGAAGGAGAAGAGGAGGAGAUAGAAUUGAAAUGAGGAGUUGGAGAUUGUUUAGCGAAAUGGUCACUCCUUCUACUUCUCCUCUUGCCCUCCAUCUCUUCUUCUUCUUCUUCUUCUUCUUCUUCUUACUCUCCUUUCUCUUCUUCUUCCUCUUUGUUGUCUCCUUGAUAAUGCACAAGGACAAUGCCUAUUCUCAUACAUGCACAUGUGUGUGUGUAUACUAUAUAUAUAUAUAUAUAUAUAUAUAUAUAGAGUAGGACUACUGUGCUAUUAGGAGCACAGCAGUCCUUAUGCUCCUAAGUUCUUAACCGCCCAUCAAAUUUGAUGGGUGGUUAGGAUAAAAGAGAAAAGAGAAAUUGAAGAGAAAUUGGGUUUCUCAAUUUCUCUUCUCUUUGAAUUUCUCUUCAAUUUCUCUUCUCUCUUUCACCCUAACCACCCAUCAAAUUUGAUGGGCGGUUAAAAACUUAGGAGCACAAGGGCUGCUGUACUACUAAUAGCACAGUAGAUAUAUGUAUAUAUGUAUAUAUAUAUGCUUGUUGGUCCUAUUUAUUGGAUUUGUAUACUAAAAGAAAAAUGAAAGGGCCAUUCACCUCAUCUUCUAUUUUAACAAAGCAAAUAUGUAUGGAGACCUCCACAACUAAAUGUUAUUUUGAAAUAAUAAAAAUUUAUAGAACUAAUCUGAACUACAGAUUAUUUUGGAUUGAGUACUUGACUUUCCAAAAUUUUAUUUUGACUAUCCAAUCUUCCGAUUUACUUGAUUUGCGUCAAUCAUCGGCUACACUUUGAUUUCAAAAAAUAAGUUAAUUAUUUAUUUUAAUAAAUUUAUAGUUGCAAAAAUUACAUAAAGUAUAUUAACCAAGUAUGUAAAGAUAAACGACAUAUUUAAAUUAAUUUUAAAGUCAAAUUAUCAUUGACUAUCAAAUAAAACACAUUGAAAGGUCGGAUCAUAAAGUCAAAAUUUUGAAAGAUUGUAUAGUUUAUUUAAAAUGGUCCAUAGUUUAGAUAAGUUUUGCAGGCCUUUAUCUUUUGAAAUAGCCCCAUCAACUUUUUAGCUAAAAAAUUUGAAAUUAUACAAUAUCAGUGAAUCAAAUUUAAAAACUAUUUACUUUAUUGUAAAUAAAAUUAGAUUGAUUAAUUGCUAAUAACUAAUUACACCAUAAAACUUGACAAAAAAAAUUGACUUAAUCAGCUAAAGAAUAAUUAAAAUUUUAAAAAAAUUUAAAAAAUAUCUCAAUAAAAAAGAAAAUAAGGUGAGGGGCCUAUGGUUGAGGGGUUCUCCACUCAUUUUAUUUUAUCCUUUAUUAUAUAUUAAUAAUUAUUAAUGAAUAUGACCCAAAUGUGGGAGAGAGAGAGAGAGAGAGAGAGAGAGAAUCAAAUCGUGGGAGAUAUCGUUGUAUUAAUAAAUGGAGGGAAAUGGGUGGGGACCCACCACGCGACAAGUUCCCUUUGCUUCUUGGCGGGAAACGAUGCCAAGAAGUGCCACGUCAGUUUUUUUAAAUUAAUAAAUAUUAAAUACAUUCAUAUUUGUAAAUAUAGGGAAUUAUAAAUAUAUUUCUAUAAAAUUUAUAUUUUUAUAUAUUAUCUCUGUAUUUUUUUAAAUAUUUUUCUCUACCUUGUUAUCGUUAUAGAACUGUUUUAUAUUUCAAGUAAAAUAUAAAUUUUACUAUCACAAAUAUGUCCUUACAAAAAUCACAACAGUAUAAAUAAGAAGGACAAAUAUGUCAAGUUAUCUCAUAAAUUAACUAGAGUUAAGUAUUUAACUUAUAGUUAAUUAAAGUUUUCUAAUAGAUUCCAACGGCAGGGACAUAUUUAAAAAUAUUAGGAUUUUUGUAGAAACAAUAUAUGAAAGUUGAACUUUAUAGGGACAUAUUUAUAAUUCAUAUAUUUGCAGGAACUUGUAUGAAAUUAACUCUUUUUUAUUUAUGUUUGUGGCUUUCUGGUCAUCGGAUUGUUUUAAAAUUUGUGCAGUACUAAUUUCAUUAGAUUUUUGUUGCUAAUGUGUAUGAAAUUUAGGUGAUCCGACGACGAACGCAUGUUGAGCAUCGGUGCUUUUAAAAAUAUAGUAGCUCAACUUUAAUAAAUAUUUAAAGUAAACUGUUAUUGUUAAAGUAAUAUUUUUAUAUUGUGUGGGGGCCAAAUCCAAUAAUCUAAGACACAGUUAGAUGUAAUGAGUUUCCUUUGGCAUUACAAAGCUUCAAUUUGGCAAUAUCAGUUCUCAAAUUUAAAUCUCUUUAAUAGAUUUAUCAAUAAAUUACGCUUGUUAGUCACUGCACUUUUAGUAAAAUUUCGUUUAGAUCAUGUCACAAAACUUUAAUUUUGUUUCAAUUAAAUGACUAAACUUUAAUUUUUAUUUCAAUUUGGUUAUUUUUAUUUAAUUUUCAAUAAUUUUUCCAACAAAAUAGUUCAGUUGUCAUAUUAUCUAUCUUUAGAAAAUCACGCAACAAUCAAAAUUAAUACUUAAAAUAGUAAACUAUUAUGUCAUUUCUCAAUAUUGAAAUUAGUGCCCCAUCAUUCCUUCGUAAAAAAUAAAAAUAAUAAAAUUCAAGACCAGUAACCAAAUCACGUAAAAAUUAAAUUUUAAUGACUCGAUUGAAAGAAAUAUAAGUUUGAUGAUCUAACAAGAUUUCGCCGAAAAGUUCGGUGACCAAUGAUGUAAUUUAACCCUGAUUUAUUUAAAGAGAUGAAUUAAAAUCAUUUUGUAGGAGCAUAGGGGACGUAGGUGCUUUUAUUUGUUCGUAUUCUUUUAUUUGUUCGUAUUCUGUAUCAUUUUAAUUUUAGAUUUAUGAGAUGUAUAUAUUUUUUACUUUGAAAUAGGAGACCAUGUAAUGUGCUGCAAGAUUCCAACGUGCGUUCGAAAUGCGAUACCAGUUUUGAUUUAUAAUUUGUACCAUAAAAUUUUAGUUUAUAAUCAGCAUUCACUAAUAGAAUAAAAUAAGAGAAUAAUAUUGAAAAAAAUAAGCAAGCAAUAAAAAGACUUAGAAACACAGCUAUUUUCGAAAAAAUAAUACCAAUCAAUCACAAUCUACCAGGCGGAAUUAAAUAACAUACUCUCUACGAAAUUAACUAUUUAAUCCAAUCGGAAUGGUAGUAUUAGCAGAGUCAUUUUUACUUAUUAAUAGAAAGAUUUCUUACUGAAUUAACUUAAUAAUCAGUGAUAGGAUUUUGACGAAAUUUUAAUUCAUCUAUGUUAAUAAUAACACCAUGCAUUCACUAAUCGAAACGGUGUUAACGUUUUUAUUAUUAUCUAAUUUCAAAGAUACUUGAUUUCUAAUUCCAGAGGCUUUUAUGUUUGAAUCUCCAAAAAUUGGGUGCACAUUUAACACACAACAACUUUGGGGGGAACAAAAGAAUAAUAGAGAGUGACAGAGCUGAGAUAUGUGGAUUGUAAUCUUAAAAGAGAGAGAGAGAGAGAGAGAGAGAGAGAGAGAUAGAGAGAGAGAGUAUGUAUGUAUGUAUGUAUGUAUGUAUGGAUGUAUGGGGUUGGAGCAGAGGAUUCACAAGCAAGGUGUGAGGCAAUUUAUUAAGUGGAGGCAAUAAAAUGCAGCAACUUAUCUGCAUAUGUCUUGUGCUUGUGCAAUAAAUUGGAAACCUCAUUAAUUGUCACCAAUUAUUGGAGCUUUCAUGGGGAAGAGGAAUUGCAUAAAUGAUUGAUUUUUUUUGGGGGGGAAAAUAUAAAUACAAUAAAGUAAUAAAAUAAACAAGGAAAAACUUCAAAACCCCCCUUGUAGUUUCGUACUUUUUUAUUUUAGUACCAUGUGAUUUUAUUUUUGUAUCAAGUUAGUAUCCUAUGAUUUUUAAACCACAGAGUAUUAAAGUGAGAAAGUGCAAAACCAGAGGGUGCUAACUUGAUACACUUUAAAGCAUAGAAUACUAAAGUGAAAAAAUGCAAAACCACAGGAUACUGACUUGAUACACUUUAAACCAUAGGGUACAAAAGUGGAAAAAAGUGAAACCACAAGGGGGUAUUUGAAGUUUUCCCAGUAAACAAAGAAGAAUGAAAAAAGAAUAGGUGAUUUAGGGAACUUCAAAUCUUCAAUGAAGGGGAUCAAGUGGACUCCUCCCACACUCAAAAGUCAAAACUCGAGCUCAGAACCCUCCAAAUCAGACCUCAUGCUUUAUUACUGGAAUCGUUUCUAAUUUAACAUCCCGCAAAAGAUAACAAGUACCCAGCAUGUUCUGUAAUUGAAAAAUAAUAGAGGACUAAUCCACUUAAUAUAGCAAAAAAGAAAAAGAGAAAUAAACAAUUCUAGUUAAAUAAGGUUAUUUUGAGAUAUUUCAGGUGUUCUGUUUUUAUUUGAACUUAUAUAUAUAUUCUUAUGAUCUAUAGCCAAAUAAAAUAUCGAUUGUUGAAUGACCAAGAACAAAAAAAAUCAUAUCCAUAAAAUCUGUCCUGCAAUCAAGCAUAAACUUAAGGGUCGAUAUCAAUUUACUUCCUUGUUGUUUUUAGCAUAUUUUUACUUUAUCACUAUGGUUGUGUAGUACAAUAUAGUAAUUUGCUCUUAUAAAUCUACCCCACGGCAAAAAGUCUACAAUAUAGUAAUUUGCUCUUAUAAAUCUACCCAAUGGCCAAAAGUAUCAAUUUGUUAUGCUAUUUACCGAUAGUUCUUUGUAGUAAAACAAAAAUAAAAAUACGAUCUUUUCUAUAUUCUACAUAGGGACAAAGUGUAAGUUUAUAUUUAAAAGGCGACAUGCAUCUUACACCCCACAUAUUCAAUAGCCACUCGAUGUGAUUACACUCCGAUACUACAAAAAAAUUACUAAGUAUCCAAAAAGGCCCUAAAUUUUUACAUUCGAGAUGCGAAUUGCCAACUGCGAAGCAUGGAAAGGAACACAAGACGCCCAAAGCAAAUUACAACUUGUUUUUUAUGUAGAACAUAACAUAUCACAGGCAUAAGAAACAAAUCUUUUUGCGGUGAAACCGAAAGGAUUUUUGUUAGCUUAGACAAAAAUGGAACAUAAUUAAAAAGAAAGAAAAAAAAUCUAUCAAUUUAUAUGUUGUUAACAUCCUACUGCAUACACAGGAGCAGCAUCUACAAAGACUUUGAUAAAACAGAGCCUUUUUCAAUAACACCUACGCACAAGCAACUAAUCAAUAUUACUCUUGUAUUUGGACUUCACGAGAGACUUAAUUAACAACAAAACGAGAUGAAGAUAAAUAUUGGAUGAACCAAAAUUGCAGAUCUCUGAAAAUCUCUUUUACUUCAUCGGAUAGGUGCAAAAUGUCCGUCUUAAAUUAGAUCUCGCCAAAAUGUCCGUCUUAAAUUACGCUGUCAAAUGGGUGCAACGAAAAAAAUAAGUUAUACAAUAACUCUCUGACUAGACGAACAGAAAACUUAGAACAACAACAAAACUGAUUAUUAUGCUAAAAAACAAACGAUACAACAAAUAACAGUUGGCCAUGUUUCAUCGUCACCAUCAUAAUAUCCGCAGCGGUUGGUUCCCCACUCUGGUUUGGUCCACCUUCAACUUCAUCUUCUUUCGUGCCUUCAUGCUCGCGACAUCCUGGAAAGGAUUCGCCCCGUCGAAUGAUUCCUUACCAUUCUUCACCUUUUUCCUCUUACCGCGAUCGUAUUCCUCGUCCCUGAGAUAUAAGAAGCUAAAUUUACAACCCUUUCGACAAAGCAUAAGCUGAGAAACACAAACGAUAGCUGCAACUACUGUAAACAGAUAAAUUAUACUUAACAUUAUUUUCAUGUUCUAAAUAAAAUCCACAAUAGCAUAUGGGUCUGAGGCAAUGAUAACGGUCGUGCUAUCGGGUCCUAGUUAUCAUGGGUUUGAAUCACAAAAAAGCACCUCCUUGGAUUAUAGGGCAAGUUGUGUCCAUUAGACUGCUCAUCACACCUCAAAGUGUCUCGUAUGCUGGACUGCCUAUUAAAAAAUAUUUUACAAAAAUAGUACAUGUAAACUACGCACGCCACUAGCUUCUAAUGACGAUAGACUAUUACAUUAAAAGAUCAAAAUGCACUGGGUGCAGAUAGCAGAAAUACUACCAUUUGUAAACCAACAAUAUGAAAAUGUUAAUCUGGGCACAUAAUCCAUUUGUUUCACUACAAAUAUAUUGAUUUUAUAUAGCAUCAGCUAGAAGUUAACGAUAGUUGUCAAGCAACCUAAAUGCCUAAAAACUGUCCAGACAAAAUUUUUUGCCUUUCUGGACUAGAGGACAUAUCUUUUUCUGAUAAGGCCCUGCUGUAGGGUAUACUGUUGUUUGAUAAAGUAUUGGUUGAGUAACGACAACGAUAUUACGAGAAGCACAAUACUAAUAUAUUUCCAUUAGCUUCUUUUCCAGUAAUUGGAAGCACCAAAUUUAAGCUUCUGCCUUUGAGGCUUAGAACCUCAUUUUUGGGUUCCCCUGCAUUAGAAGCCUCAAAACUUUCCUGCUGCCACUGAUCUACCAGAGCAUGGUGUGCCGAAAGCAAAAAAAAGGUUUCUGCUCCAACAAUCAUUCACCCAUUUCUGCAAAUACUUUCAAGGCAAAUGUCACACCCCAAUAAUCCCACAUCAGAUAGAAAUGGGGAAUGUGAUUGAAUAUAUAAGAAACUUAGAUACUAGUAAUAAUAACCGGGCUUAAGCAUUUUGGGCCGGUGGUUUGGACCCAAUGAGUUAUUGUUACUAGUAGGCUGGGUCGUUACAUUUGGUAUUAGAGCCGGUUCACCAGCCGAAGAUGUGUGACGAGUCUCGGCUGAGCCAGGGCCUGAAAGAUAAGGUAAUAGCUAUGCCGGAGUCUGAAUGACAAAGUGACCGGCUAUGCCAGGGUCUGGAUGACAAGGCUAGUAAGACAAGUCUCACAUUGCCUGGUGAUCUUGGGCUGUGUGUGUGAUUGGUGACGAAGACGUCAGAACCUUAACGGGAGGAGUCUGUCACACUCCAAUAAUUUCACAUCGGAUAGAAAUGGGAAUGUGAUUAAGUAUGUAAGAGACUUAAAUACUAGUAAUAAUAACUGGGCUUAAGUAUUUUGGGCCGGUGGUUUGGCCCAACGAGUUAUUAUUACUAGUGGGCUGGGUCGUUACAGCAAAAUAGUCUUAAAAAGUCCACUCAAAUUUGAGUUCGCUUUUCACGUAAAAACUUUCAUGCCAACUGCUCGUUACAUAUUACAUCACACCACACCAAAUAACUCCAAUGAUAAAAUCAAACGAUCAAUGUUCAUCUAAUAUCUGAAAUAUUACAUAUUAAACCAGAGAAUUCUAAGCAAGCACAUGAAGCCUACUCAAGCAGUUUUAAUAACUGUAUUAUUGUUUGACUCCAACUAAAUUUUAAUUUAAAAAUUCAAUCUCCAUUCACAAUGCACCCUUUCACAUGAAUUUCAAUUGGAUGAAUUUACAAUGCUCCCUUCUACUUAAAUUCCAAUGGCAAGCAUGUGACUGCCCCCUUUCACAAUGUGGAACAGUGUGAUGUAUUUACUUCUUCCAGUUUAUGUGUAACAGACUCCUCUUCAAUGCAUUCAGGGAGUUCAAAAGAUGUACAACGGUGGAAUGCGGGAUGUACUUACUCCUUUCAGUUUUUGUGUAAACAGACUCCUCUUGGUUGCAUUCAGGGAGUUUUAAAGGGAUGCCUCUUAUAAAGUAUAGAUUCAACCACAUCCCCAGUUCUGAUAUUUAGGACCUUUAGCGCAAGCUUGUCAAACUAACAGCCAAUACUGAAGCUUGGCAAGAACCAUCUUCUCACGAUAUUUUAAUGUAUUUUUUAUAUAUUAGCAAAGUUGUUUAUAUUUAUUCAUUUAGCAAAUUGUCUACAACGCCCUUUAUGGACUUUCGGUUUUUUUUUUUUCUUUUAUACUGCAGCCUAAAUACUAAAGAGUGAAAACUUACUUCUUUCCUAUCCUCAGAAAGUAAAUUCAUGUCUCCCUUUAUGGAAGUUACACUGGUGCUAUUAAAUGGUCAAUCAUUUUUUGUGAUUACAUCUUAAAGGGAACUUCAGUCAUUUAGAGAAUUUAUCUCUUUACAUUGCUCAAAAUGGUUUAUUAGUUAUUACCAGUUUGUUUAUCCAUGUUCACUAUGUCAGUUUGAAAUUAUUUUUUUUGCUUUCCAUCCAGAGUGAUAUAAGAAGCAAAGAAAUUAUUCAUAAUCUCUCUUUCAGAUAAUUAAAAGUUAAAACAAUUCCGGGCAUUGCAUAGGCAACAAACUUGACAUAUUAAAACCCCCACAUUUGUAGAAUUGUGCAAACUAUCAUCUUUAGGAAUCUAAUAUUAACUGGCUAUGAAGAGAACUGCAGAAAUUCCUAAUUUGUGGGUAUUAAAACAAAAGCAUAUAACUCAUCAGGCAAGGACAUAGUUAAUUGGCGAGAAGUGUCAAACGUUUAUAUUUAUAUAUCAUAGUUUGAACUCAAAAAUGAUAAUUUAAGUUGAAGAUCAAGAAAGUUUACCAUUCAUCCAGGACAUAACCAAUGCUUUUCUUUACUGAACUUUCUACCCUAUGCAGAUUUUCUGUCAUUGGCAAUUCUAUAUCAUCCCAUCGUGCAACUGCAUGCAGAAAAAAAGAAAAAGAAAAUCCCACAGUAAUACAUAAGAUUCAGGCAAGUACACAACACCAACAUGAAAAGAACAAUACAAGACGAGCAAAAAUGAAAAAAAGCAAUUGUUAUGCAAAUACUAACCAGUGGUUUCAGCUAAUCCCCUGGUGAGUAAACUCACCAACUCGUGCUGGUGUGUACCUUUAUCAUGUGAAUCAGUUUUACUUGACUUGCACUGAUCUGGCGCAUGGUUCAAGCAUAUUUUAGGCUGCUCAGAAGUACCAAGAGUGACACCAAUCUUUCGCUUUGUCUCAUCUAAUAAUUGAUCACUGGUAGAAUUACCAUUAGACUGAUUUCCAUUUUCUACUGUCUGAACAUUAGAAUCAGUUAUCAACCGAAACUGCAAGCUUUCACAGUGAGGGUGCUUGGAAGAAUUUACACUUAUGCUAUUAGUAGCCUCAGAUGUUGAUGUUCCUUGAUCGCUUACUCUUAAAUGAUCUGAAAGUCCACUUUUCAUGAGGUGUUUGGAACCUAGACAUCUUCUUUUUGUUCUCUUGAGUUUCUUCUUUUUAGCCAAAUUUAAUGAACUCAUAAAUAGUUGUUUCCUGCCAAAAUACUUGCUCUUUAAUAGAAUUUCUGGAAGUUUCUUCAAUUUUGUACCCAUUUCAUGGCAAGUACGAAUUGAUGUUUCAGGGACCGAUUCUGCAGCAAGUUCCUUAAGUAAACCAUUUGGAAUGUUUUUUUUAUUUGACAAUUUGAUAAGUUCUGGUUUCUCCACUUUAAGAAGGCCUUGGCCACCAUUCUGGUUUUGUAGAUUGCAUGAACGAACUUCAGAACUAAUUGCCUGGAUAAGUAAAAUCAGCAAAAACAUCAGUUCUGAUUUAACAACAAACACUAAUAGACGCUACAAUCUAUAUUUAUCUACCUGGUAUUUUGCAGCUGACAAAUUGCUGGUGCUGUUUUGAACGAAUCCAUUAGUAGGAGCUGACACACUCAAAUUUUCUUUCAAUUUAGCUUUCAAUUUCCCCUGGUGGGAUGCAUCAUAAUUUUGAAAUAUUCCGUUAGCAGCAGCAUCACUCUAGCAAGGACAAAGGGAGCAGACUUUAAAAAAAGAUAAACUAGCAUUCAUCCCGUUACUCUACCUGAGCGCGCACCACCCCNAAAAAAACACUCAUGAAAAGGUAGGAAAAAUGAAGUUUUACCUUGCAGAUAUCAGGUUCCAUGACAAGUGUCUUGGCAAGAACCUCAGAUGUAGGUUCAGGAAAUGCAGAGUUCUUUGACCCAGCAUGAAGGUAGUUUGACUUCACCUUCACAUCCAAACAAUUAGAAUCAUUUUCAGGCUCAAAAGAGGUAUCCUUUUUAUGAGAAGGUAUCACAAUAGGAUUGUCCUUUGGUUGAUCUUGCUUUGAGGAGUCGUCUGCCACCUUCUGAUCAGUAUUGUCAUUUGCAGCCACAGAUUCUUUCAAACAAUGCCCCAAUCCUUUAGAAGAAACAUUCCCAUUUAGUUGCAAGUUAGAAGAUUGAUUUGCACAUGACACGUUUUUGUUUGCAGAUUUUGGGGCUUCAUCCAGAUUUUCAUUGCCGCCAUUUCGCACAGAAGAUGCUGCCUCUUGCGAGGACUGACUAAAUUGUAUUUUUAUCAUAGAACUAGGCUGACAGCUGAUGGUAGGAUCUUUUUUCAAAUUCACCAUACUACAGAUGGAAGUGCUUAUUUUUGUUCCUGCCCCACCAUUUUGAUUUGCUCCUUUAGUGCCUGAGACAAUUUCACAGUUUGCUCUGUUUCCAGGGCCACAUUUAGAGAGGCUAUCCUUCUGCACCCCAUCAACUGAUCUUUUCACGAUCAAACUUCUAUCACGUACAUAGAAUAGCAUAUAGGCUUUUUGAGACAAUACAGUCUUCUCACUGACUUGGUGUACCUAUAUUUGAAUGUUUUAAAGAAAAGUCAGCACAAAAACCUAGUUGGCAACUUUCAUAACUUGAAAAUUUCUCAUUUCCCUUUAAUUCAUUGUCCUCCUUUUUGCGCUUAAGAUCCAUUAUGCACCUACUUGGAAAGGAUCACAUUUUAUACAUUUCAGACAACUAAAUGGACCAUCAGUAACUCCUCUACCAGUACUUUCCAAGUAUAUUUGCUAUUUAAGUUACAAGGAAGGAUAUAAACUCUAAUCUUAGAAAAUAGGACAUCACUGCCAACGUGUAGAUUAGCAGGAACAUACAUAUAUAUAUAUGCAUAUGCCUGCUGAUUGAAUCACAGAGUUGUUAGCAUGAUAUACCGGUAAGAUAUCAAAGUAAAUAGCAAUCAAAAUUCAAUAUUAAGGAAUCGUAGGCUUACAAAAUGUCCUCAAACUUAACCUGAUUAUCAUCAAGAGAAUGCCACAUGCCACUUGAUGUGCGUACGAAACAAUAAUAAUGACCAGAGUGGGUAUUCCAACCAGCAUGAACUAGGACACCAUAAAGGGUAUAUUUCAAGUCUCCCUCCUGCAAAGAUUACUGAAGAUUAUAGAAGCAAGAAAGGCAAAUGAAAGAGCAGCUGAAGCAAACCCAACAUUACACAUGCUUACUCACAUUGGGAUCGCUAACAAAUGGUUUCAAGUCGAUCCUGGGUUCAAACUCCACUUUUCUGUCAAUCUUUUGACCAGCAAUAUGAGAAUCAAAACGCUUGAGAUGAAUGGUGAGCACAAACGGAGCCUUAUUAAUCGUAAGCUGUUUAUAAGCCCUAACUUUCUGUUUGCACCGCUGACACUGAUAUUGCCUCUCCCCACCGUCAAGUUGCUCCAGCCCAGUGAAAUGUUUAAGUGCUUUAUGUAGAGAAUCAGCUUUCGCAAUUUCCAGACUCAAAUCCAAGAAUGGAUCAAACGUAUUCGAACAAUAGGAACACUGCAUACAUUUUACCUGCAGCACAAAUACAGAUAAGUCAAAACAGAUUACAAAGAUGGCCUCUUUCCUCUAUAAUACAUUUCCAAAUAAAAAAGAAAAAAAACCUAAGGCACCUGGCUUCUAAGACGACCGCCAAAAAUCUUGUAAACUAAACUUCUCUCAUAUGCACUAGGAGACUCACUUGGGACACCAGAAGGUAAACAACAUUUAUGCAUUGACUCAAGCAAGUUAAUCAUGUACUCAUGAGCAUCUUCCUGUCUGAAAUUCCGAAAAUUGCGAGAUAUGCCUGAAAGUAUAGUCAAAAGGUUGCAAUUCUUAAGUAGAGUAAAUCAACAGCAAGCAGUACAGAAAUAUAAGUGGAUCUAAUCAUUCAAAAAGUUUUUUUUGGGAGGGAGAUGGAAUCCAGGACACAAGUUUACAUCGCAAGUUCUUGACAAGAUGAGAUGGUGACAAUAUCUUCCCGGUAGAUUGUAGAGCAUGCAUAACAUGAUUCUGAAGAGCACACAUUGCACAGAAGCCAGCAGUACGGCCUAUAAAAGAUGAUGUGAAGUCAAGUUGACGAUCCAUAACAUGUGAAAAUGAAAAGCGCUAUAGUAAGGGAAGCCUAUUUUAUGACUUCCAUUCAAUUUCAGUGAGCACACAAAAGUUAAGUAGAAUGAUAUGCUCCACAUGCAAAUAUAAAUAGUUCCAUUGGAUGGAAAAAGAUGUGGUUAAAUAUCAGAAGAGAUAUUUCAAACAAAAUCGAAGGGUAAUCAACAGAAUCACAUAUACAUCUACACAAACUUACAUGACGACUUGUGCUUGCCGCUCUGCAAGUACGCUGCAAAAGGCUCCGUGUAUGUCAGGCAUUGGAGAACUGAAUUCAGAAAACAAGUAUUACCAAGAUUCGCCAAACCAGCACCCUGUAAGAUGCCGAACCUUUUCCAAUUUAGCUAGGAAAAUGAACAUUCCAGAUUUAGGGCCUCUUUGGACCACUUUUAUUUCUUUCAACAGCAGUAGUUUCUAGUAAAGCAUUUACUAAACGAAAAAAAAAAAGACGUAGAAAGAGCAUCUACUGCAGAAGAAAGCACAUAAAGAAUAAGAGUUGGGUCCUCAAAAGCAGAAGCUCCGAUCUGAUAAUUCUGACUGUGCUGUAGAAAGAAGCUGUUGAAGGUUUUCAUAUAGUGCUUCUCGUAAUAGCACAACUCAUACAGCAGUUCACCAAACAGCACGAUACCCUACAGCAAGGCCAAACAGGGCCUAGCUACAUGCCAAAUAGAUAUCAAUAAGAGACCACAUGAAUCAGCGCCGAAGCCCUAAAUUUGGUGAAAAUUGAAGCAUCAAAACCAUGUUUUAUACCAAUCUAAACAUGCAAACGAAGCGAUCGAACAAAUCGAGGCACAAAAUCCCAACGAAUAUUACGAAAAAGCCGAAAAGCCCCCUACUCACGAUUCUCCGGAAGGUGAUCCUGAAGCCGAGCUCCGGAUCCAACCCAUGCUCGUAGAACUCCCCGCCCUCCGAUCUCUUCCCCGCCGCAGUGGCCNAGCCGAAAAGCCCCCUACUCACGAUUCUCCGGAAGGUGAUCCUGAAGCCGAGCUCCGGAUCCAACCCAUGCUCGUAGAACUCCCGGCCCCCGGCGCUGAUCGGAGCCGGGGUUUAGAGUUUCGAGGCGAAAUCCGCCGCCGCCAAUCGCGCCCGACGCGGCGGCGGCGGUGGCGGAAGAGGGCUUCCGCGCGGGGUGGAACUCGAUCCUCCUACCGAAUAGCGACUCCACCGUGGGAGCGGGUGCGGCGACGACGGCGGCGGCAGCGGCGGAGGAAUCCUCCGCCAUGGGCGCCGAGAAGCGGGGGAUCGAACAGAGGUUUAGGGUUUUGGGUUAGGGUUUGCGGAUCGGGGAAUGGGGGAGAGGGGUCGGGGGAGAUGGAGAGAGAGAGAGGGUUUUUUGGGCGCCGCUUUUGUAGAGCAGGACGUUUUGCGCGUUUCGAUCCGUCGCUCUCUCGCUCUCUCUCGCCCUCUCUUAAUUGGCCGGUAGAGAAGGAGAUUUUUGGGAGGAGGGUGUGGAUAUAAACCCUAUACCCUCGACAAAUUAUCCCCUGGACCUGGUGUACCGAUAUACACGCACCGCAACUAGAGAUGUCAAUGGGUAUGCAUGCCUGAAAUUUUAUCGGAAUCCAAACCCGAACCCGAACGGAGCGAAUUUAUCUGAUGCUAAACAGCUAUGAUUCGAAUAUGGAUAUCAAAAAUAAAAAUCCGACGGAUAUAGAUUAGGAUAUGAAUUUUGACCGUACCCUACCCAAACCCGAAUUUAUUUUAUAUUAUAUAUAACAUGUAUAUACAAAUAUAGUAUUAUAUUUGAAUUUGUAUUUUAAAAAAUUUAUAUUUAAUGUAAUAUAUUUUGAAAUAUUGAAAAGAGAAAUAAUUGCUUCAGGUUCGAAUUUUCAGGUUCGGGUUCGAGUUCGGUUUCAAAUUUUUGGUCGGGUUCGGGCUUGGAUAUGGACUUUUAAAUCUGUCGGGUUCGAAUUCGGAUUUAGAGUUCGGUUUGGGUUCGGAUUUUUAAAAAUCUACCUCAAAUCCGACCAGUUGACAUCCUUAACGGCAACUAAUAUUUAGUGGCUUACCUUCUUAAUAUAAAAUCUAGCUAAAUAUAUAUAGUCGGAUAUCGUAGCUCCAUAAAAUAUAAUUUUAAAUUUUAAAUUAAAAUAAAUCUCAAAGAAUUUACAUGGAAACAUGCUGAUGAUGUUAUACAAUUAUGUAAAUUUUACUUUCUAUUAUAUUUAGAUUUGGUACAUAUACUUUUUGAAUUCAUUUGGAAUCAAAUUUAACUAAAUUUCAAUCAAAUUAGGGAUAGUAUUUAUUUAGAAAUAUAAAUUUUUUUAUUUGAAAAAAAAUAAUUAGAGUUCAUAAAUUUUAUUCUAUGUAAUUAUACCAAUAGAUUUUCAAAUGAUCUGACAGUAAAUUAUGAGAAUUGGAUGAAAAAUAUUUGUAUUAUAAGAAAUUCCAUCAUAUCCUUUCAAAUUAGUUAAAAUCAUAUUAGUCAAUGAUUCCAAUAAAUCGAUUAAAAAAUUAGUAUUUUAAUUCUCGAGAAAAGUGAUAACCUAAAAUACCCAGAGGGUCAUGUUUGUGAAAUAUUAUGACUUUCGAAAAUGUAUUAUUUAGGCAUAAUCUAUUAGAAAUGAGCAACUAAAGUUUUAUUUUCUUUUAUUUUGAAUUAUUUUAAAUUAUAAAAAUAGAUGUAAAAUUGAAUUUGGGUUUUGUAGGUAGGUAUUUUGGAGUACGGUGCACGGUGGACCGGGUGCACGCAACAAUCUCUUGAUUCCCUGUGGGAUUUGGCCCACGCGCCGACUGAUAAACGGCGAGGAUGGAUUUAGGGCGUGAUCUGAGCCGUCCAAUUAUCGUCCCAUGAGGCUUUUUUUAAGAGAGAAAAAAAAAAUAGCAAACUAUUUUUUUUAAUAGAAAUAAAAUCACCUCUAAAAUUUCAGUGAAUAUUAUUUUUUUAACAUUAAAUAUAUAGAAACCCUUCUAAACUUUAGUUCUCUUGCAAAUAGGCGCGCAAACUUUCAAUUUUAGUAAUUAUAUAUAUUUCUAAAAUUUAUCAAAUUAUUCAAAUUAUAAUGGAUUAUAAUUUUCGAUCCGAACUUUUUAAAUUAUCAUAAUAAAGUUUUACGCUACAAUUUAUAUUUAUUAAGUGGUGAUAAAUUGUCAAUAUGAUUGUAGCAUGAUUAAAAUUUAUGAUUCCCACACAAACAGAAAAGUUGGGGGACAGAAUUUCAGCGGGGAGUUAACUAAAAGACGCCUUAUCGGAGAACCUCUAAUCCACUACCAUAUGUUAAUUUUAUCUCUAUCUAAGAAUUCGUUGGGUGUUUAUUGAAUACUAUAUUCAAAAAAAAAUCUAGAAAAAAAUUAUAACCUUGGAUAGAAAUAAAACUGAUACAUGGAUCGAAUGGAUAGCUUAAUGUUGAGGGAUAAGGAUCGUAGUUGUAGUUAAAAACUACGCCCUACCAUCCAUUGAGCCAAACAGAGCCUAAGUACAAGUCUAGUUAAAACAAGUAGAAUAAAUAUUAAAUUAUAAAAUACAAAAGAUUUAAUACAGAUAUAUACUAAGCAAUUAUAAUUUGUCGGUGCUAAAAAAAUAAAUAUUUCAUAUCAUAGUGUGUCGGCAUACAGAUAUUUUGCGACCAACACAUAUCGACACAAAACUACACGUAUCUUACCGUAUUGAAUCGAUAAUUUUUCGGCAUUAUUCCGCACCACGGUGCUUAAAUUGUUGUAUUAGCGACAUGACAAAAAUGCAAAAAUACCCCAUCUAUAAGGACAAAAUUGGGUCGAGCCCAUACCGAACCUUUGACGAGAUGAGUGGGCCCAAUCCAAUUUUAGUGUAGUAUUUUACAUGGCCCAAUAGUUAGAUGGCCUCUGAGAAGAUAAGCCUUUUAGGUUAAAUUAGGGGCGGCAAAAAUUCGGGUCAAAACUAGAUUGAACAAUUAGAGUAGGACUUGUGUGCUAUUAGGAACACGGAGGUUUUCGUGCUCCUAAACCGUUUUCGAUGAUGGUACUUUUGAAUCGAUGAUCGGCUCCGUUAGACUUGAUCCAGCGUAUUUUAAAUAUUUAGACAAUAAUUUUUGUAGAUUUUCGAUAUCAUUUACCUAAGAAUCGAAAUGAUUCAAAAUCAACAAUUUUUAAUGGUUGAUGUAUGCCGUUCGUAAGUUUUACGGUGAGAAAGUAUUCAAAUCAGAUGAAAUUUUGAUAAAUUUUUUUUUUAUAUUAUUUACUGAAAGAUCAAUAUCUCUGAUACAAAAUUUUAGUGCUAUAUAAUUACUUUUUGCGAGAUUUUUUAUUUUCAGUCAACUCUUUCGAUUGCUAGGUAAAUGAUAUUGAAAAAUCGUAAAAUUUAUUUUCUAGAUACUUCAAAUACGCUAAAUCAAGUCUAACGGAACCAAUUGCCGAUUUAGAAGCUCUAUCAUAGAAAAUGGCUUAGGAGCAUAAAAGUCACCUUGCUCCUAAUAGCGCACAAGACCUACUAAAAUAAUUAUCAGGAAUGCUGAAUAUUAUUACUAUUUACUACAUCCAGAUUCAAUUCGUAUCUAAACUCCGGAUAACAUAUAUAUUCGUGUAAACCAAAUUUCAAAAAAAAAGAAAAGAAAAAAAAAGCAUAGAACUAAAAUUAUUUGAAUUUUAAAAUGAACUAUUUAAAAAGGUGAUGUAACAUAAUUCAACUUUACUAUUCAAUUGAUCUUACAAUUGAUAUUUUUAGUGGUUAAUAUCAGCUGAAUUUGUGACAAUUAAUCACCAGGUAGAUGCUGUUGUAAAUUCCCGAAAUUAGCUUCUUAGUAAUGAUGCGAGAGACCGACCAUCCCUAGGCCCUAGCGCAAGUGGCAAAAAGCUUGGUAGUUGGUACUCGAGGUCCUGAGUUCGAAUCCUAGUUGAUUUACAUUUCCAGCUAAGUUUAUUUUUAAAUAAAAUAAACGAAGCGGGUAGCGUGCUAUCUAUCUCUCAAAUAAAAAAAAAGAAAAAAAAAAAGAGAAAGAGGCGCAUGUGUGAGAAAAGGAAGAGGGUGCGAGAUACCAACAGCAGCGGACAAGGACAGAGAGGAGUGCGGAGUAGAAAACAACGUCAAGGACGAUACUAGCAGAGAGUCUAUCACCAAGGAUGACUUAACAAGCAUUGCAGAGUAACCAAUUAUUCCUAACACAAGUGAUAAAAAAUUUGAUAAUUGGUAUUCAAGCUUCUAAAUUCGAAUUCUAAUUGAUUUAUAUUUCCAGCUAAGUUUAUUUCUAAAAAUAUAAAUGGAGCAGAUAGUAUGCUACAUUUCUCCCUUAAAAAAAAAAAUAAAAAAAAAAUAAGCAUCGCAGCGUAGGCAGGCAAGGAAGGCGGUUGGUGGUGACUACAGGGAGAUCAAUGGAUGUCUCUUGUACGCAGAAGCAUCUCUUGUACGCAGAAGCACGAGAAGAGAGCGAGGGCAUUAGAUCGACCAUUAAGAGAGCAGAAAAGGUAGAUAAGGAGAAAUAGAAGGCAAGGUAGGAACUCACAACAGAGAGAAAUGAAAAAGUUAGAGUUAAUUUCAUACAGGACUAUAAAUAUAGUGAAUGACAAAUAUAUUUUUAUAAAAUUCAACUUUCAUAUAUUGUUCCUGUAAAAAUCCUAAUAUUUUCAAAUAUUUUCCUCUGGUUUGUUAUCGUUAGAGAACCGUUUAUAUUUUCAAUUUGUCUUCACAAAUAUAUCUAUCCAAAAGCCAUAACAGCAUAAUAUAAAAAAGUAAAAAAAUUAAAAAUUAACCAGAGUUAAGUAUUUAACCUAUAAUUAACUAAAGUUUUCUAACAGGUUCUAACGGCAGGGACGUAUUUGAAAAUAUCAGAAUUUUUAUAGAGACAAUAUAUGAAAGUUGAACUUUGUAAGGAUAUAUUUGCCAUUCACUAUAUACAAGGAUUUGUAUGAAAUUAACCCAGAAAGUUAUCUACCCCUGUGGCACCACAUUAUUUAUAUUUCCAACUAAUUAGCUUCGUGUACCACUGUUGUGGUUUCAUAUUUUCUCACUUUAAUUAGUACUUUGUGGUUUAAAAAAUAUCACUUUAGUAUCCCGUGGUUUCAUUUUUCUCUUUCCGUUAUCCCUCCAUUAGUUUUUCCGUUAUACAGUGAUAAAAUUAAAACCAUAAAAUACUAAAGUAAAAAUACGGUAAGCCGCACGGUAUUCAAGUGAAUGUUCAAUAAACCAUAUGUGAGAUAUUUAAAGUUUUUAUAUAUGAUUUAAUGGAGGCGCUGAUGGAAAGAAAAAAAAUAAAAUCAUGGAGUACUGAAGUGAGGUAUUUUAAACCAUAUGAUACUAAAAUGAGAAAGCACAAAAAUUACAUGAAUAAUAUUUUAAUUUUUUUUAACAAAAAAUUAUUAUACUGUUUUUUU
rnacentral:lncRNA from 1 species